rnacentral:lncRNA from 1 species
GAUAAAAACCAUUGUACUUGAACAACGAUCCUCUGUUUCUUAUACCUGGAAACUCUUGGCUUAUAGUGUAUUCAGAGGACCAAGAUACUUGCUAUAGGUUGUUCUGUUUAUGUCAAUGCUGAUAGAAAAUGUCCUAAAUGAAAAUCAGAAAUAACUGCUCCAUCCCAAUGAGUUGUCAGUCAUUGGGCUUUCUGCAAGUGUUUUGACUUGUAUAUGUUUUCAAUUAAUGAAAUAAAACUAGUAAGCCUUUGCUAAAGUUUGAAAAGGACCAGCUUCUUCACUUGACAUGAGGCAAAUACUUUGUAAACCUUCAAUGGCGAUUGGAUUCUUUCCCAUUCUUCCAUUCAAUCAGUAGGAUUAAUUGGCAUUAGCCCUCAUCGUAUGAGAAAACUAGGAGGGGUAUUCGUUCUGCCCAAUUUUCCUGUACCAUCUGCCUCCUUGACAUUGAAUGCUCUAUUUACAAUUCACAUUGAUGAUAAAAAUUGUCAAUCACAGAUCUGGGUGGAAAAAUCAAUUGAUAAUUAAUAUAUAAGCACAAAAAUUGCCCAAGGCCAAAGAAAACGACUAACCAUGUUCACCAUGAGCCAUCAAAUCAUGCCUCUGAACAGUGCCACUAAGGUAGCAUGGAACUCAGCACAAGGGUCGAGUAGAAUGGAACAGGUUAUAUCAGGAUGGAUAAAUUGCCCAUUCACAAAAUGUUGUAGGCACAGCACACCUUGGGGCACCCAACGGACUCAAGAAUUUGCCAUUGGUUCAAUGCAGCAGCAGAAAAUCACCUGUAAACAAACACAAACCAUCAGCCGGCCCAAACAAAAACCAUCAAUUUGAGCCUCCAGAAUAAAUAUGAAUUGAGCUUUCUUUCAAGUUUCAACGUGAAAUAGUUUGUACCUUCCCAAAAAGGGGGAGUCGCAAAUCCUUGAAAUUUCAAAAUAAGUAUGUGAUCCUGAACUUCAUAAUAUUUCUCCUUAUCCUCUGACUUCAGAACUGUUGUCAUCCAUAACUUCUCAACACCCAGAUCAUUAAAAAUAGAAAAGUAGUACAUAUGUUAUUUCUUCCAAGGUUGUUCAAAUAAAUGGCAAGCUAUAAUUAGUCACCAUAGAAACAUAAAAGACUAAAAGAAAGAAGCUGCAACCAUUUACAGGUUGAUCAAAUGCAGCAUGAUUAAACUUGUCUUUAGAGACAGAAUAGCUUGGCAGCACUGCCCUUUAGCAAUAUGAUAAUUGACAAAAAAAAGAAACGAAAAAAAAGAGUACCAUUAUUUCAUUUUAAAGAACCCUUGUAUUAUAAUAAAGAAAUCUUAUAACCAUUUGAUUUCAAACGAUGAAGUAUCAAUAAUGAUGUCUCAAAAUACAUACAUUGUUUACUUCACUCUGCCAUGGCACAUAAAUGCUGGCCGUGAAGGAAAUAGGAAUUAGAACCCUUGCACUUCUGCACUUGAGAUGAAGAAAACACCUUCAAAUGAAGAACUUAACUUAUUCAAGGAAAGAAAAAUCAUUUGCAUUAGAUGAGUACUACAUAAGCUAUACUGUCUCAAGAUGCAUGGAAAGACUUUUUGGCUUACUCUGUUUCUUGGCAGUUGAAGGAUUGAGCUGAUCUUCUUCAGAAUUCUCGACUAUGUUGACUGGAUUAUGAAAUCAUAAUGAACAAAUAUUAGUGAAGGUGAAAAGAAAAUUACUGGAAAAUUACUUUUGUUACUCUUUGAAGAAUCAGUGUCAUAAUGAAUGAUAACAAAGCCAUUCUGAUUUCGAAUGAAGAAACAAGAGUCAUAUGUCUCAAAUACACAUUUUCAACAAUUUCCUACCUUGCCACGCUUGCCAUUUGAAGAUCAUCACCAUAAUCCCUCUUCUUAUUUUAUUUUAUUAUAAAUUUAAACAUUCUCUAACCAUAAAGAAUAUUAUUACUGAAAAGCAGAAGUAUUUUAAAAAGAAAAUCCAAUGAUCUAUUUCAGUUGCUCUAGAAUAUCCUAAAAAGAGUAAAUUAAAUAGAAAUCCUGAUGAAAAUAAAAAGGAAAAACUGUUUAAAAAUUACAUAAUAUUAUAAUGAUAAGAGAAAUAUAAACUAGGAAGGAGGCAUCAAACUCCUACUUAAUUGAUGAGGAAAAGUAAAGCAUUUGAGUUGAAAGAAACAAAAGCUAUAUUAUUAUGAAUGGUAUCUGAAGAUUUAUAGAAUGAAAUUUGGCUUACUUGUGUGUUAGAAGUUGAAGGAUUCCCUUGAUCUUCUAUAGAAUACUGCAUUUCCUCCGCGGGAUUCUACAUAUAUAUAAUAAUCACCAACAACAAUUAAUAUUAAUUGGUCAUGAGGGGGAAAAAAUGAAUUAAUUUUGAUUUACAAUGGAGUCGUGAUCAACGCCCCCAACCACAAAUUUUCUUUGUCAAUGAUAAUCAAAGAAAUUUGAAAAAACAUACCCUUUCCGUGAACAGUUUUUGUAUGGUGCUAUUAAGGCUUCCUUCCCAAAUCCAAUUCCCUUCAUCUGCCCAGUCAUAUGGUCGUACUUUGUGCAACAUCGGAGCGUUUAACCCUUCCCUGGAGAACAUCUUCAUCUUUGGGCAUUCGUGUACAAUUACUGUUGCUAAGGAUGGGAACCCAAAGGUAUGAUUCCCCGAUGAGCAGAAGCUUUCUAGAUUUGACAGCCCACUCAGUUCCAAAAGGUUGAGUUUGGGGAAAAUGAUUUCAUCCUUCACUUCAUCACGAUCCCCAUCGCUACCUUCUAUUAUUUCUUCUAUCUUUUCACAAUCCCUUAUCCUCAUUUCUCUGAGCUGCACUAGGCUUUUGGCUGUUGAAUGUGUAACUAAUUUUAUGAUCCCAUCACAAAAUUGAACUUCAAGAGUCAUCAGAUUCUGGAAACAUACUGAGGAUGGAACUAAAUUACUUUUUAAUUUGGGACACCAUUCCACAUGUAAAAUCCUUAGAUUUUGGAAUCCUUCCUCACCACCAACUCCUUCACUUUGGAAUAACGACUCUUCAAAGUAACAAUCUUUUAUUUGAAGGCUUUCGAGAUUGGGUAAGGAUAGUAAUUGGAACAGGUAAGAUGGGAAUAUGGCUAAUUGUUGAGGAAACCGUACAAGUCCGAGAACUUUUAGUUUGCAAAAGUAGUCCGAUGCAAGUCGUAGGCCAUGCAAUCUCUCUUUCAUCCCAUCAUCCCAUCCGAGGUGAAGUUGUUGUAGAUUUGGGAAUGCCAACUGCACAAUUCAUGCAAGUGUUAACAGGACGGAGGAUGAGUUGUUGAAAGGGAUCAAAAUGAACGAUUGUAAUAUGGUGGAAUAAAAAGAGAAAUUUAAAAAAGUAUAUCUUUAAUAUAAGUAGUGAUCUUUUUAUUUUUAUUAUUGAAUCAUGUAUACUUACAUAGUACCAGCUGAUUUGAGUUUGUUAUUAUUAUUAACGUAUUUUUUUUGUUAAAAAAAAAAAUAGGUACAAUCGUUUUCUAACUUUUGAUACACAUUAACUUUUACAAAAAUUUAGAAUUCAAAGAAUUUUUUAAUGCAUAUAAUUUUACUGAAAAACUAGUAAAGUAUACAUUUGAAAAUAAAAAACAAAAUCUGAUUAUUGAAGUUUAAAGAUACCUCUCUAGUUAAAUUAUAGAUCAAUCCAAAGUUAUACUAUAAAAUUAUAUAUUCUAUCUUGAUAAACAAAUUAUUGUAUUUUAUUCUUACAAAUAUAUUAAUAGUUUACAUACUUUUCUUUUUAAUAUUUAUUAUGUUGCCAUUAAAUGCUUUUUUAUUUUAUUUUUUUUCAAAACACGUCAAUCUAUUUUUUAAAAUUUUGAUCCAAAGAUUAUUUAAGAUUUAGGAUUGAGGGGUGUUAAAUACACCCUUAUUUUUCAUUUUAUACCCUAUUUUUUAAAAUGUUCUUAAGUAAAAUUAUUUAAUUAUAUUUUUUUUAUAAAUUUUUGAAAAUAAAUGUUUGAAAAAUUGUAUAACUUGUUGGAUAUAAAUAUCAGAAAACUUAUGAAAAAGAGUAAUUAAGUAAUUUUAUUUUAAAAAAGAUUUGAAAAAAAAAUAGCAUAAGAAGAGUAAAAAAAAAAGAUGCAUUUAAUAUCACUUUUUAGGGUUUAGGAGCUAAAAAUCUCAUUAGCAAUUAGCAAUAUAAGUAGUUUACCCUCUAUUAGAUUAUUGAAAUCAAAAAUAAAUUCUUAAACUCCAAUGAUGUAAUUAAUAAUUAGAUGCUAUUUCUAUUAAACAUAUAGUUUUACCUAUCAAUUUGUAAAUGAGUUUAAUUAUUUGAAACAAAUUUUAAGUUUAUAUUGGAGCGAUGGAGGGAGACAUUAAAAAAAUACCUUUUCACUGAAUAGGUAUUUUGAGAUAUCCGAGUGGAGGUUUUCCGUUGAGAUGCUGCUCUCUCCUGCUUCAUUUUCAAUAGUUGUUUCCACACUUGUAGAAUCAAAAUGGACUGUAUUCAAAAUAGGACAUCCUUCUAUAUACAGAUAUGUUAGAGAAGGGAAUUCAAUCGGAUUUCCAAAGCCAAAUCUUUUGAGCUUAAGAAGAUCCACCAGCGUCAAACAGUCUAAUUUAGGAAACACCAUUUUCUUCAUCCUUUCUUCUUUUUCUACUAAUCCUUCCGUCACUAUUAUUAUCUCUUCAAGUUCAUUACAUCCUCCAACAUUAAGUGUUUUUAGUUGCACAAAGCUUUCAACCAUAGAGGAAGUAAAUAUAUUCUUCAAAUUAUUGCAUUCGCACACUUCCAAAUUUGUUAAAUUUUGAACACCAAAAGAAGUUACUGAACGUUGCUCAUGCCAUAGCCUUUUAACUUCCAUGAAGCCUAUAGACAACCGCUCUAAGCCUGGGAACACAGCCUGCAAAUAAAAGUAAAGUUUGACGAUCAACAAUUCCUUAUUAUUCAAAUAUUAAAAAGAAUUAAUAAUGAUUUUCAGCAUUGAUAUAACAUAAAGAAAUAAUAUAUUAUUGCCAUUGACUAUAUAUUUCUACAACUCCGUCAUCUUUAAUUAUACUAGCAACAUACCCACACUUUCUUGUAGAUCUAAAUUUUUUUUUAUUUAUAGUUAAAUAAAUUUAAUAAAUCAAUGAAUAUAAUUUUUUAUAAUUUCUUAAUAAAAACAAUGAUUUAUAAUAAUUUAUUAAUUAAUUUGGGGAUAAUAUCUUUAUUUUAUUUAUAGAAUUUGUUAACAAAUCAAAUACAAAUUCAUAUUUUCAAAUAUAGUUAAAAAUAUUAAAAUACAUCAUUUAAAAACUUAAAAAAGGAAAAGUGCCAAGCAAAAAGGAAAAAAAAAGGAAAAAGAAAAAUGACCCAAAUGAAUUUGCCAAGUCGACACUUCCACUUAAAGAUGACAAUGGACGAGUAAGACCAUGUUAUGCUUAUCCUAACUCCAACUUAAUCUCAGAUUAUUAUUUUUUAUAUCCAAUCUAACCCAACAUAUAAAUAUAGUAUUUUAUUAAAUAAUAAAUUUAUUAAUAUAAUAAUAUAUAAAUUAAAUUAAAUAAAUAAUAAAAUAUAUAUUCUAAUGUAUACCAUGAGACGAGACAAAGAAAAACACUUUAAAUUUAUCUCUAACCUGACUUCGAAGUUCAAAAAAGAAAAACCAUCACUAUUGAAUUGGUUAAUCAAAACCUAUUAAAUACGAAUUAUUUUAACAUCUAUUGAUCCAAUUUCUUACAAAAUUUAUUUUAUUUAAAAAAAUGAAAAAAAAAGGGAAUGGAAGGGUAAAAAAAAAAAUUCUAAAUAGGAUUGCUACCUAAACAAUUCUAUUGUUAAUUUAUCUUCCAAAGCAUAGAUAAAAAAAUGUUAAAAUAGACAAUUAAAAACAAAAAAAAAAGUUAAAACUAAAAAAAUGGCCCAAGCAAAAAAAAUAGUCAAAUUAAUGAAAAUGCAUGGACACUAUCAUUUAAUGAUAGAAAAGAGGUCGAGUCAGGGUGGGUUUAUACACACUUUGACUCUUAACUCGAAUUUUUAAUAAUUCAAUUCCACUUUGAUUUCAAUUAGACAUUGAGUUAUUAUUAAUUGAUAUCUAGUCCCAACCUAUCACAUAUAUACAUAAUUUGCAUCCAAUCCAAAUUAAAAAAUAAUAAUUCAAUAAUUUUAACUUAGUAUAAUAUUCAUAAACAUUUUAUUUUUUAAUAUAAAUUAUAUAUUAAUUAUGUAUAAAUAUAAUAAUAAAAUAAUUCGACUCUACUUCAAUUUCGACUAGACAUUAUCAUUAAUUGAUAUAUGAUCUUAACCUAUCACAUAUAUGCAUAACUCGCAUCCAUUCCAAAUUAAUCAAAAUUAAUUCAAUAAUUUUAACUCAGUAUACUGUUCAUAAAUUAUAUCUUAAUUAUGUAUAAAUAUAAUAGCUUAUUAAAAUAAAAUAUUAACUAAUAAUUUUAUUAAUAUAAAUAAAUUAAUAAAUAUAAAAUUAAUUAAAUAAUAAAAAUAUAUAGUUUUAAUAUAUACCGAAGAUGAGAUGGAACAUCCCAAACCUGUUUCCUACCCUCAUCCAAUUUAGAAAAAAUUCCAACCUAAUUUCAGUUUUAAAAUAUAAUGUACCUAUUGGAUUGAGAGAAAUCAAAAUCCAUUGAAUUUGUUUUGUCAUCUCUACAUCAAUUGUAUUUUUUUUGUAUAAAAUUUUUUUAUUAAAAAAUUUUUUUGAAAAAGGUUAUUGGCAAAAAAAGAAAAAAAGCCAAAUAAAAGUGUUGUAAAUUUAUUAAAUUAAGAUAUUAAAUAAUAAUUUUAUUAAUAUAAUAAAUAUAUAAAUAUAACAUUAAAUUAAUAAUAAAAAUAUAAUUUUAUAUAUAUCUUAGACAAGAUAAAACAUUUUAAAAUAACCCUUGAACAAAUCUCGAUUUAAAAAAAAAUUCUCAAUUUGCUCUCAAAAUUUUUAAAACAACAUAUCUAUAUUGAAUCGAAGUGAAUUGAAAUCCAUUAGAUACAAAUUGUUUCGUAAUUUUUACAUCUAUUAUUUUUCUUAUAAAAUUUAUCUAAUAAAAUUAAAACCAAAUAAAAAAUAAAAAAGUACAUUUUAAAGAAAUGUUAGGGUGGCACAUAGACCCCCAUCUUCCUCCAAAAUCUAAAAUAUUUAUAAAAUGGAUUGUAGAAAGCCUUUUGGUUGAAAUAAUUAACUUCGUACAAUGAUUAUAAUCUUCCAUGAAAUAAUUAGAAAAAAGUCAAGUAUUGGCUUGAAGUUGCAAUAAAAAGUCAGUCAUUAAAUUUUAUAUAUUAGUUAUUAACUCCUAACAAAAAAAAAGUGCAAUUUUAGAUCUAUAAUAAUAUAUAAUAUCAAUAAUUUCAUUAUAUCACUCAAGUCAUGACUUGUAAAAGUAAGUUUUAAAGUUUUAUUAUUAGAGGUGUUCAUCGAUUAAACCUAUCAAGUUCUGUUUUUAAAGCUAAUAAGAGGCCGACCACUCACUCAUUUAUUUUAUUGACAAAAAACUCACUCAUUUAACUAAUAUUUUAUUAUUAAAAUAAUAAAAUUUUCUAUUAUUAUUAAUAUUUUAAACAUAUAAAAAUAAAAUUUAACAAAAAUAUAAUAUUUAUUAAUAAAAUAAUUUAAUCAGCCCUAAUCAAGCUGAAGCUUAAAAAAUCAUAUGCAGCCUGACCCUUUACAUCUUUAGUUGCGACGAUCCCCUCUAUAAUUCAAAUAAUUAAGACUUUCAAUUUUAAAGUUUUAAGUCUACAAUGGUAGAAUAUCUCUUUGGAUGACUUAAAAAUGUUAUAAUGUUUGUGAGAAAAAAAUCUAUAUAUGAAAAGGAGAAUUAUAAGACUCGAAGAAAAUAACAUAAAAGAGAUACAUUCUAGUCUUGCAAUAUAUUAACAUAUAUACUUCAUCACUUUGUUUUCAGGUUAAGUUAAUAGGAAAAUUACAAUCUAAAACACUACUGAUAAUAAAUUUAAAUUUCACACCAACGAAUUUAGAUUAUUGCUAAAUAACUCAAUAGGAUAUAUUUUUAAAAAAUUAAUAUAAUAAAAAACAUAUAAUAAUAUUUUAACUACACUUACAAAAUUUAAAAACUCUACCAACAAUGUAUGAAAUAAAAAUUUUAUGUUCAAAAAAUGGAGAAAAGCAUUAAGAAAAUACCUUUUCAUCGAAUAGAUAUUUUGGUACAUCAAUGCAAGGUUUCACCAUUGAGAUGCUACUCUUUCCUGCUUCAUUUCCAACAAUUGUACCCACACUUGUAGAAUCAGAAUGAAAUGUGUUUAAAACUGGACAUCCAAGAAUCCAUAGUUCCUUUAAAGAGAGGAAUUCAAUUGGAUUUCCACAACAAAAUCUUUUGAGAUUAGGAAGAUUCAAGAGCUGCAAAUCGUCUAGUUUAGGAAAUACCAUUUUCCUCAUCCUUUCUUCUUCUGGUAAUCCUUCUGUCACUGUUAUUACCUCUUCAAUUUCAUUACAAUCGCAACAAAAAGGGAUUUCAGUUGCACGAAGGCUUUUCAACCAUAGAAGAAGUAAAUAGAUUCUUCAAAUUUAUGAACAGCCGCUUGAACAGUCAACACAGUUAAAUUUCCAACACUAAAAGAUGUUACCCGGAAGCUGAUCAUAGCCAUAAUUUUCAAUUUCAACUGUGAUACAAGAUAACCACAACUUCUUUUAAGCAUGGAAAUGACCUGCAAAUAAAAAAAUAUUGAUAAUCAACAAUUUCUUAUUAUUCAAACUUAAAAAAAAUUAAUAACGAUUUCCAAUAUUGAAUAUGGAGACAAAGAAAUAAUAUAUAAUUCCAUUGGACAAUAAUUUUCAAAGUAAUAUUAAACAAAAAUUAAAUAUUUACUUGGAUUUGCAACUAUAUAAAGUCAAUGAAGUCAUUAAAUGUUGAGUAUGAGUUAUUGACUCCUAACCCAAAAAAUAGAGUGCAAUUGACCAUCUAUAUAUAUAAUAUCAAUUCUUAAAUUCAUUAUAUCACGCCCAUGUCAUGAAAGUGAAUUGGAGUUUUUCAGUUUCAAAGGCGUAUUUGGAUUGGCCUAUCAAGUCUCCCUUCCAAGGCUGACUCAACUGACUCAUUUAAUUAUUAUUUUAUUAAAAUAACAAAAUUUUAUUAUUAAUAUUUUAAUAUUGCAAACAUAUUCAAAAUUAAAAUGUAACAAAAAUAUAAUAUUUAUUAAUAAAAUAAUUUAAUCCUUGUGGAUAAGCUUUGAGUUUAAAAGACUUAUUUUAUGUUUUAUUGAAUACUUAUUUUAAAUAUAUUAAUAAAAUAUUUUAUGAUAUAUUUUAUUUUCAUUAAUUUUGAUUCAAAAAUCACUAAAAUUGAAAGUACAGCAAUAAAAUUCAAUAAAACCAAAGUAUAAUGACAAAAUUGAACACUCACCUACAAUAAUAAAUUUGCUCUUUAUCCUAAUUAUAUCAUUCACAUAUUAAAUAGAAAAUCUAGUUUAAGAAAAAGGAACAAAAACGAGAUCAAAAGGAAAUAUGUUGGAAGUGAGAAUUUAACGAAAAGAAGAAAUAUAUUGACAUAAAUACCUUUCGGUCAAAAAGCGAUGUGGCAGUUGAACUUCCAUCAAUUGAUUGAACUCUUCCUUGUUGAGACGAGGAAAGCCUUUUUUCUGAGUUAAACAAGCCAAUGAAACUUGGUAGAUUUCCUAACCUUAAAUAGCGUAAUUGGCUGAAUUCUAAAAUGUCAUCAUCACCAAUCUCUUCCUCCCUCUUUUCUACAAUUAACUCUGUGAAAUUCGAGCAAAGAGAUACACGAAUUUCUUGAAGGUGGCCGAGCUUUCUGGCUAAGGCGAAUGAGAACAAAUUCUUCAACAUAUUACAAUCUCUUACUCCUAUCUUUCUUAGUUGACCGAAACAUUCAGCUUGGAGUUGACCAUAAUAUAUGGCCUCCAAAUUGUUCAGUUCACGAAGAAACAAUGUCUCCAAAAGAGGAAAUGCUUUACAUGAAGUCAACUCCAUGGAGUUAAUGAGAUAUUUAACCUCUGAAUCAUUGCGGACAUCAAGAUGUUUUAAAUGUGGGAAACCUUGGGUAUCUGGAUCAUAAAGCAUGUCUAUGACAUCUUUUGCUGCAUCCAGAUGGAGAGUUUCGGUUUUUCUCAACAACGUUUUAACCCCACUAUCGUCCAAAUGAAUACUCUUAUUCAACUUGAGUUUCAACUCUCUCGAGGUUUUUGGCUUAUAAUUCCGCCACCACUUCUCUCCAAUGGAAAUUUUGUAUCUUUCAAACUUUUCAGAAAACAAUUUCUUUGGCACAGCUUGCAGAUCAGGAAUAUGUACUUCCAAAGUUGUCAAACGAGACAAAUGUUGCAACUCAACAAGGCUAGCAUUGGUUCUUGGCUUCUCAUGUCCCUCAACCUCCCAUCUAUCAAAGCUAUUAUAAAGGUAUAAUUCUUCUAAUCUGGAUAAACGAGACAAGACAUUUGAUGAUAUUACUUUAAGACUGGAACAAUGACUCAAAUCUAGCAAUUUUAGCUUGAUCAAUUGUCCUAUUUGGGGUGGUAGCACUGCAAUUUUAGAUUUUCGGAAGCUAAGGAUUUCUAAAUUCUUUAACUCUUCAAUGAUGACUAUACUUUUAAAUGCAGUUAGAAAAAACAUAAAGUACGAAGAUUUUUUAGGAACAAACAUGACGAAGGCAAGGAUGGAAAAUAAAGUUGGCAAAUCUAAGGACCCUGAGUUUUUGCAUUCCCCUAAAGAAGUUUGUCUGAAAUUUUCAAAGAGGAAUCCUCACUACCCAAAGAGCAAAGGUAAGAUUUGGACAUUCCAACCGAUCCAUGAUCAGAAGGCUCACAACCUUAGCAUACUGCAAGCUGAUCAGUUCGCAAUUUCUUCAUUUUUUCCUCAUUUGACAACUCUUUGAAUACAUCAUCAUCAUCCUUCCUAGAGCAAGCCAUGGUGGUCUCUCGAAGCGAUCGAUAAGGCAACAUCACAAACAACGUCAUGCAUACAAAAGCGCUCAAAGGUAGAACCAUCAGUAACAAAGAAGAGCUUUUCAGGUUGUUAACCAAUGCGGAUACUUUAUAUCGUGCUUCUUUGAUUGUGUUAACUCCAUGAAAUAAACCCAAACCCAUGCCAUAUCUCAACAAGCUCGAUGGCAGCAUCAUGGCCCAUUAUGCUACAGAGUAGGAAAGUAGGUCGAUGUUCCUCAUCUUCUAAAAACUUGUAACUCAACUCUAUAGCUGAAUAUGCACCUGCUGGUAUCCCUUGAAGUUUCUUUUAGAGGGAUUUCUUAGUUCAUUCAAAGCAUACUUCCAAUCAGACAAAUUCUUCUUAUUUUUCAUAGCUUCCCCAACUGUUACAAUGGCAAUCGGCAAUCCAGCACAUUCAUUGGCCACUUCAAUUGCCGUAGUUUCCAAGUCAGGGCUUAGAACAAUAUCACCUGCCUUCUUCUUAAACAGGUUCCAUGCUUCUUCUUCUUUCAAUAUUUCAAUUGGAAUGUUUUCAGCGAACCCAUCAAAGAUAAAGCAUCAACCUUUCUAGACGUCAGUAAGAUCUUGCAUCCUUGGUGUUCACCUCCGUAAGGAACUCCCAGAGCCUCCAUAUCCAAUUUCUCCCAAAUAUCAUCCAAAAUAACAAGAAUCUUAUUGCUCCCCUUUAGUCUGUUACGUAGUUCGCCUGCUCUUCCGGGUACACUCGGCUUUUCAAAAAUUAGACCCAAUUCAUCAGCAAUAAGAUCUUGAAUAUUCUUUAUAUGUCAAAAUUGUGGGUUACAGCUGCCAUGACCACCUCAUCAAACAAAUCCUUGGCUUGUAUAGCAACUUGUUUGACUAGGGCAGUUUUACCCAAACCUCCCAUCCCGUAAACACCAAUUAUGCUCAAAUUAGCAUCUUCAAGCGCCUCCAUGACCCUAUCGAAAGCACCCUUUCUUGACUCAAAGGCCUCGUAGUCUUUGUCAGGUCUAGUGGCUGUCCCUCCAACAGCAGGUUGGCGGGAUACUCUAUUAUUAAAUUCGUCUUUAUCUUUUAAGAGUUCAGCAAUGGUGUUGGCCUCUUUCUCAGCUUUUCUACUGAGUUGGUAACGAGACUUAAAAUUAGGACACAACCCAACGAAACACAUCUGCUUUGCUUUCUCUUCAUCGUCAUCCAAUUGCUCAGCAGCCUCAUCACAGAUCCCAUUGACCUUAGUCAACCACUCACCCCACAUAGCUAAAUAUCUCCUUUCCCUGUCUCGUAGCCGCAUUAACAUCCUCUUGCACACUUUCUCUUGCAAUCUUCAGUUUUUUAAGUUGAUCCCUGAGGUUUUGAAACUUGCUCUUAUGCUUGAACAAGUAACUAACUUGUCGUGCAAUGGGAUCAACUGUGCAUUCCACCGCUUUCCCAGCAAGAGAGCCAAGAAUGGAUCUAACAAUGUAAAUACAAGCCUCCAUAUAUUUUUUUUAAUCGGAAGAACGCUCCCUGACAAAACCUAAAACAAUAUGAACAGUAAUAUUCAAAACCCAAAAUAAAAAAAUAAUAUAAAUCAAAUAAUCAGAGAUGAAAACAGUGGAAAUGGGUUUAAACAAACAUACCUCUGUCGUUCUCUUAGAUAUCAAAAGAUUGGUCGGCUACAGCUUCUUCCUAUCCUCACUUUGAGUAGUGAAGCCAAAAGAACAGAGAACCUACAGAAAAAUUUUAAGGAAUUCUUUUUUCUUUUUUUGGUGAAUAAAGCUUGAGGAUUCAGCAGUUGAAAGAGUUUAGGAGAUGGCAGUUUGAGAGAACAGAGAAUCAAAACUCAGAAUUGCGUGUUUUCUGUAAAAGAGUAUGAACAGCCAAGAGUAGUAAACAAAUGGGAACAUGUUGACAACCUAAAGGACGACUAAAGCACAGCCAGCUGGUCUCCAUUCUGCGGUCCCGGGGUCCUGAUUGUGCGCCUCUGGGCUGUGGCACAUGAUUUCUGUCGGUAAAGUAUUAUUUUUUAUUACGCCAAAAUCCUUGUUGUUAAGCACUAAUAUACAGUUGUCAUUUUUUUUUACCUAAUGAUGAAAAAGCUAUUAGGAAAACAUAAAAUCUUGAUUUGAUUUUCUUCAUUUUCAUAAAUUAUGCUCGUCUUAUAUACCAAAAAUGAAAUACUAUCAUCUUCAAUAGUUUUAGCCAAGACAUGAUAAAUACAUCAUUACAAAUAACAUCAAAUUUUUAUUAUAAUCGAAGUUAAAAACUUUUAUUUACAUUCAAAAAUACUCCUUGAAUCCAAUUUUUAUUUCCUAAAACACCUUUACUUUUCUUUUUAUUUUUCUUUUUUUAAAAUGUUUUAAAUAAAAUUUAAUUAUUAUUUAAUAUAAAAAACUAUCUUUCAUGGAUUUUUAAAUAAUGAAAAAGAUGUUUCACCUUCAACUUAAAUCAAAACCAAUAAUUGUGAAAAAAGCAUGAAAAGCACAACCAGCUGGCCUCCAGUGCCUGCCCCUGGGUCUCCAAUUGUGCUUGUGCAGCCUGUGGGACAUGGUUUUUGUCGGAUUAGAAUGUUUUAGUAAAUUACACUAAAGUCCUUGACAUUUAGCACUAAUACAAUCAUUCUAUUUGUAUGAUAAAUUUACAUCAUCUCCAAAGUUUUAACACUUACCGAUGAUAAAUGGAUCCCACGUCUCACAUGCACAUGCAACUUAUGUUAUACCAAAAAUACCCUUUUUUUUAAUAGGAUGACAAGUAAUAUAACUAAACCAAUUUCAGCUUCUUAAUUUAGUGAUAAAAAAAUCUUUAAAAAAAUACGAAAUUGAGGUUUGACUCUAUGCUUUCUUUCUUCUUUAUUAUUGUAAAGCUCUCUCCCCUUAAAAUCAAACAACAAGGGAGAGGAAAAGAAGAUGAAGUCAAACUCCAAACUUUGUGUCUUUUAAGAUUUCUUUGAUCACUAGAUCAAAUUUUUUGACUUGAUAUUAAAAAAAAAUACUUAACUUCCCAUACAAAAUGAAUAUAUACCUUUAUAAUUUUUUAUUUUAUUGUAAAUAAACCCAAUUUUUUUUAAAAUUACCUAAUUAAAUUUAACUUCUUUAAAUAAAAUUAAUUUAAAUUUUUUUAAUCCAAACCAAAAAAACUCACCCAACCAACUCUUGAUUUAGCUCGAAACUAAAAAUAAUUUGAACUCAAAUUAACUCAAAUCUAAAUUAACAUGAAUCUAAAAUUAAUCAAAAUUGAAAUAAUUCGAAAUUGAAUCGAUCCAAAAAAUUAACCCCAAAUAAUUGAGAAAAAGAUCAUUUUAAUUAAGAAUAUUAAUUUAAUAAAAUAAUAAUAAUAACAUAAAUGAUAACUCAUUAAAGUUAUUAAAAAUAUCAAAUUAAUAUAUAUUUUUAAUAUCAAACUAAGUAUAAAUUAUAUAUGUUAUGUUUACUUGAAAACUUCUUAUAAUUUAUAAUAUGAUUUAAAAUAAACUAUAUAUUUUUAAUUAUUAUGAUAUAUUUACAUAUUAAUAUUUCAUUUAAAAAAAUUAUAUAAUCUCUUAUAUUAUGUAUUAUCAAUUAUCAUGUGAUUUAAAAUAAAAUUUACAAAACAAGCUAUUGAUUUGUGUAUAUAUAUGUUACAUAUAUGUUGUAAUUAUAUUAUUAAAUUUUAAUCAUGAAAUUUAAAAUAAAUUAUGUGAUUUCCUUUUUCCUUUUCUUUUUUUUGAAUGGUAAGAAAUUGAUGAUACGAAGCAAAACAAACAAUAAAAGGGCAGAAGGCUCACUGACAAAACCCAAAACAACAAAAACAGCAAUAUUUAAAACCCAAAUAUAUAUAUAUAUAUAUAUUUAUAUAUAUACAUAUAUAAAUCAAAUAAUCAGAGAUGAAAGCAGUGGAAUGGGUUUAAACAAACAUACCUGUGUCCUUGUCUUAGAUAUCAAAAUAUAGAUCGGCUGCAGCUUCUUCCUAUCCGUACUUUGAGUACUAAUAUCAAAAGAGCCGAAAACCUACAGGAAAAUUUUGAGGAAUUAUUUUUUCUUUUUUUGGUGAAUAAAGCAUGAGGAUUCAGCAGUAGAAAGAGUUGAGAGAACGGAGAAUGAAAACUGAGAAUUGCGUGUUUUCUGCAAAAGAGCAUAAAAGGCGGAGACUAGUAAAGAAAUGGGACAUGAUGACAAACUAAACAACAAUUAAAGCACAGCUAGGUCGUCUACAUUGUGCGAUCCCUAGGUCAUGAUCGUGCACAUGUGGGCUGUGACACAUGCUUUCUGUCGGGAAAGUAUUAUUAUUGAGUAAACUAUACCAAAGUCUAUGUUGUUAAGCACUAAUUUAACAUCACGCCAUCCGUAUGAUAAAUAUACGGUUCUCAAUUUCCUUGGUUUAAUAAUUGAAAAAAUUUCAGCAGGACAUAAAAAAUCUUGAUUUUAAAUUAAUUUUUUUAUGACGUAUGUUCAUUUUAUAUAUAAAUAUAUUUAUCAUUGUCCAAAAGUUUUACAAUCACAUCAAAUUUCUGUUAGAAUUAAAGUUGGAAGUUUCGUUUACAUUCAAAAUUUCUUGAUGCAUUUAAUGUUUUUAUUAUAAAAAUAUCCAAUAUUUAUUAACUCUUUUAGCAAAUUACUUUUCACUUCUUCCUUGCAUCAUUUUUAAAUCCUACAGAUUUAUAAAGUCAUAAAUUUAUAAAAAAUUUAUGAAUAUGAGUAUUUGUAAAUUCUUUAAAUGGAUGAAAAAAAUAUUUUUUUAUUAUAAAAAUAUUCAAUGUGAAAGUAAUGAUUUCACAACAAAUUGCUUAAAACCUCAAAGGUCACCAAGAGAUUUGGGCAGAAAAGGCAGUCAAGUAAAUGCAAGUCAACAUAACAUCUAGGAAAAUAGCAAGAAGCGUUUAGUUUCCAACAAACAUCAAAAUCAUGGUAGGUUUGGCAAUACUCUAGGAAGUCCUUCCUUGAGCUCGCAUGUUGGUAACAUGCAUUUACAUGAGAGGAAUCGUAGUACAAUUGAUGUCACUAAAAGCUCUAGUGUCUCUGCACCUGUCUUUGGCUCACAAAAAAUAAAAAUCAGAGAGCUAGGAUUUUAAGAGGGAAAAGACUGAGGACAAGUUUGAGGUUGAUCAGAUCUGGGCAUUAUAUGGUAGGGAUGGCAUGCCUAAGGACUCUGCUUAAUUCAAAAAGAUUGAAUCCACCCCUCAUUUCAAAUUGCGUGUGGCACUGCUGGAAAUGUGCUCAAGGCCUAAAGACUUGAAACUACCCUUUGUUGUAGGAUAUUUAAAGUUAAAAGUGGCCAAACCAAGGUUAACGUUGUCUCUCAUCAAUUAAGAGCUGAGCCCAUUGGGAAGAACAAAUGCAAAAUUUACCCUAAAAAGGGGGAGGUUUGGGCAAUAUACCAGAGUUAGAACUCCGCAGAUUCAGACUUGGGUACGGGUGAAUGUGACAUUGUAGAAGUGUUGGAAGAUAAUGCCAAGAGCAAAAAAGUUAUGGCUCUGUCAUGUGUAAAUGGAUCUAAAUCACAUUAUAGGGCUUCAAGAAGUCAAAGUGCCGGAGAUUGAGUUUGCUACAUUUUCUCAUCAGAUUCGAGCUUUACAGCACACAAGAGAAAAGGAUUGCUGCUGGAGAGGCUAUUGGGAGCUUGAUCCCUUGACUAUUCCCAGUGUUCUUAUUUGUAUAGAGUGAUAUACUAUAUUGUGUUGCAUCAUUAAAUCCCUCACCUCAUUGUCACCAGGAGCUUUUGUGAGUAUUCUCCAAGGGAGAAAAUGGAAAGAAUUUAGAAAAAACCUGACGAAAUUAAUUUUGUCUCCUGUGUUGGAAAUCAUGCAUGGCCUUAACCGUUAACCAUUUUGUUUUUGCCAAAACGAUGUACUCUUUUGGAAAGUGAACUAAUGCAAAUCCUCAACUUUUAGUUGCAAACUUGCAGUGAUUAUGAAUUCUUAUAUCUGCAUCAUCAGAGUUGACGUUGCACUUUUCCAUUGGGGUAAUAAUAUGGUCUCUCUUCAUGUUAGGACUAUGAUAUGUAUUGUACAACAUUUGUGGACAUUAACAAUCAGUGUUAAUCCCUAUUACAUCAGAAAAGAGGUGUCUUUUAAACUCUUUUUAAUCUAAUUAUAGAAUUUGAAGUGUAAGAAAUUGUUCAAGAGUAGAUAAAGUAGUAAAUAAAUUGAUUUUAAAAAUUCAGAUUGAAAUUAGAGCAAGUAAUUUUAUGAUUUAAAAAAAAAUGAAGUUAUUAUUUAUAAAUCUUUAUUUCUAUUAUUCCCUAAACAUUUUUUUUGGUCUGGAAAAGGAGUAUUAUUCCCUAAACGUUUCACGAAAAAUGAAACGUUUUAGCUUUGUCUGUUUCACGAAAAAUAACUUUUAAAAAAUAUUUAUAUUUUUGGAAUAUAAAGAGAUUUUUUGUUAUUUAGAGGAAUUAAUGAAAAUAUUUUUCAUUAUUUAGUUUUUUUAAAAUAUUUUUUUACAAAUAAUAUUAAUAUAUUUAUUAAGAUAUUAAAAAUUAUUUCUUAUUAAAGUAUAUUAAAAUUAUUAAUACUCAAAACAAUUAUAUUUUGAUAAUAAUUUUUAAUAUUAAAAUAUUAUGUUAAUAUAAAAAUACUUAAAACAAAACUAUUUAUUAUUUUUCUAUUAUUUAUUAAUAUAUUAUAAUAUUAUUUAUUAACAUUGUUAUAAUAUUAAUUAAUUAAUAUAUUAUUUAUAAGUAAAAUUAUGUUGAUAAAUAAUUUUACUUAGAAAAUUUUUUUUUAAAAAAAUCUUAUUUUUUAUUUUUUAUUAACUAAUAGUUAUUUUUCAUUAACCACUUAAUUUUUGUGAAACAAAUAACUAAAAAUGUAAAAUUAACUUUUAAAAAUAAUUUUUCGUAAAACAACAAAGCACCGAAUUCUGCAUAUAAGCUUUUUUUUUUUAAUUUGCUUGUACUUGCCCAUGAUUUCUUUUCACGUUGGACAGGUAAUUCUUUUUUUCUUACAACUUUUCUCAGUUUUUUUGGAUACCCAAUUCAUUUCUUGAUUGAAAAAUUUGUCAAUUAAACCCAAAACCGAUUAUCCACCGAUGUUCCAAACUCCAGAAAUUGCGUUCAUUGUUUGAUAUUUAAAUAAACAAAGUACAUUGAAAAGUGGGAAAUCUUAUUUGCAAUAUGUUGGCAAGUCCUCUAUGUGUAUGACGCUUAGAAGAAUUCAAAUGGUGAAUUUCAACUGAAAUUCAGCUAGAGAGUUCUUAUGUUCUUUUUAAAUUGGAAACAUUUCAGUUACAAUUAUUUAAUUACAAUUAAUUAAUUAUAAUUUAUAUUUAUGUAAAACUCAUAUUUUUUAAACGAUAAAUUUUUAUAUAAUUUUUAAGUAUGAUUGAUUAAUUAUAAUAUUAUAAUGAAAAAAUUAUAAGUGAAAUUCUCCCUUUAAAAACUGGGAUUUACAGCUUUCAAUGCCCAUAAUCAUUUAUAAAUAUAUAUAGAUAUAUAUAUAUAUAUAUAUCUAUCUCUUUAAAAUCAACUUGUAAGAUAAUACUUGCAUACUGCAGAAUCGCGUUCAGUCAUGUUUUUUCGUCUAAAUGUUUUGACUAUUUAUUAGACUUUAAAUUCUCGUAUCCAUGUCUAUUUAUUCAUGUCUUAAAAGGUGAAAACUAUAAGUAUUAUCAUGUCAUAAUUCGAUUACCACAUUAAAUAUAAAAUAUUUUUUUAUUUUUAUUAAAAAUUUUAAACUAUUAAUUUUUUUUUUUUUGGUAUCAUAUCAUAAUAUUAUAUUUAAAAUUGUAUUAUAUUGCUUUGCUUUGGUGUUGACAAAUAGGAAUUGUCAGUAUAUGGUUCUUAAUUUUGAUUGUUAGAAACGCAUGACUGAGAAGAUUCCAUAUGGAAUAUGUUACUCUAAUACGUGACUCUACUGUGGGUGUUUGAGGACACUUAUGUUUUUGGGAACAAAUCAAGUUCCAUGGCAUUAACAGCCUCUCGCACUCUUUUUCAUGAAUCCUCCAGUUUUUGACGUUGAUCCCUGAGGUUUUGAAACUUGCUCGUUUACUUGAACAACUAACUAACUUGUCGUGCAGUGGAAUCAACUGUGUACUCCGCCGCUUUGCCAACAACAGAGCUAGGAAUGGAUAGAACAAUGGAAAUAACAGCCUCCAUAUAUAUAUAUAUAUAUAUAUAUAUUUGAAUCGGUAGGAAAUUGAUGAUAUGAAGCAGAACAAACAAUAAAAAAACAGGGAGGAACGCUCACUGACAAAACCCAAAACAAUAGAAACAGCAAUACUCAAAACCCAAAAAAAAAUUUAUUUUAAUCAAAUAAUCAGAGCUGAAGACAGUGGAAAUGGGUUUAAACAAACAUACCUCUGUCCUUGUCUUAGAUAUCAGAAGAUUGGUUGGCUACAGCUUCUUCCUAUCCUUACUUUGAGUACUAAUAUCAAAGGAGUAGAGAACGUACAGGAAAAUUUUUUAGGAAUUUUUUUUUCUUUUUGGUGAAUAAAGCUUGAGGAUUCAGCAGUUGAAAGAGUUUAAGAAACGGUAGUUUGAGCGAACAGAGAGUGAAAACUCAGAAUUGCGUGUUUUCUGCAGAAAAGGUCAGACUAGUAAAGAAAGAGGAACAUGAUUAUUUAUAAUAGAUUUUGAAGUAAAUUACAAUAAAGUCCUUGAUGUUAAACACUAAUUUAACAUCACUCCAUCAGUAUGAUAAAUAUACGGUUAUCAAUUUCCUUGGUUUAAUAGUUAACAAACUUUCGACGGGACAUAAAAAUCUUGAUUUUAAAUUAAAAAACAUUUUUAUGAGCUAUUCUCAUUAUAUAUAAUAUUAUAUUAUAAAAUACAUAAAUAUAUAAUAAGAUAUAUUGUUUGAUGUCUACGUGAAUAAUUUAUAUUUUUUAUAUAUAAAAUAAUAUAUGAAAUUAUUAUGCAAUCAAAAUUAAAAGAAAAUAUCACAUCUUUAAAUUUAAAUUUUGAAAAUACUUAAACUUAUCCUAUUAAAAUUAAUCAAAAUUCAAGAAAAAUUUGGAUGAGCAAAAAUCAAAUAAAUCAAUAGAAAAAUCUAAAUUCAAAAAUCUCAAAUAAGAUAUUUAUUUUUAUAAAAUUUCAUAUAAUCUUUUAAUAUUUUUUUAAUUUAAAAACACUCAUAUCACCUUUUUAAAUUUCAAAAAUACUUAUUAAUUUGAAAUAUAUAUAUAUAUAUAUAUAUGCAUCCUAAUUACCAUCCAAUAAUAAUAUUAUUUGCAACUUUUCUUUCUAAGUUUUUUUCAAGUAAUAUUUUUUUUUCAAUUCAUUUUUUCUUUUGAUAGACAUCUGCUAAUUGUUUUAAUAUUUUGUUCAACACUUUGAUUAAGAAUACAAGACUGAAGGUAUGUAAAUAUUUAUUUUAUGAUGUAAUUCAUCAUUCAAUAAUAUUUUUUUUACAAUCAUUAAAAGGAAAGAAAAAUCUAUAUAAUACUCUUUUACAUCUAAGUUUAUUUUAAAAAAAUUAAUUUUUUAUGAGAUAUCGAUUCUGUAUAUAAAUUUUAUAUUUUAUAAAUAUUGGAGACUUUGAUAUAAUUUUUUAAAUAAUAUUAAUUUAUAUAUAUUUAAAUAGAUAAAAUAAAUUAUGUAUUGUAUGAGUUGUAAGCUAACUUUAUAUAUAUAAAAAUAUACAUGAUCGUCCCAAGUUUUAGCAAUCACAUGAUAAAUACAUCUUUACAAAUCACAUCAAACUUUUAUUAGAAUUGAAGUUGUGAGUUUCUUUUACAUUCAAAUUGGAGUUAAGAACUUCUAUUUACAUUCAAAAUUUAAUUUUAUCAAAAUUUAAUAAAAAGCAAACUCCAAAUUUAGUUGAAAUUUGUAAUUUUAAAAUUUGGAUUGAAAUUUAUGAAUUUAAAGCUUUUAAGAAUUUACCUAUAAGUUCAUCAAAUUCACCCAAAUAUCAUUCAAAAUAUAUAUAUAUUUUUUUAAAUUUGAAGUAUGACAAUAGUGAUGAUAUGAAGCAAAACAAACAAUAAAACUGCAUUUUAAAUCUACCGUAACGUCGUUUCAAUGAGAUUACCAAUCGUUUUUUGUCUAAUCACACUAAACAAAGAAUUUAGAAAUCAAAAAACAAUGUAUCUCACCGCAAUUCAAAAAUCCCAGUAGAAGGAAGGAGGUUUAGAGGGCUUUUCCAUUCCCACCACUCCUACUGUUUCCAAAAAUACCUUUGCUUUAAUUUUUUUUCCUUUGAAAUUAAAAGAUACAAACUUCUCUUUUUAUUUUUUGUUUUUUAUUUUUAAAUUUUGUUUUAAAUAAAAAUUAAUUGUUAUUUUAAUAUAAAAAAUGUAUAUCUUUUAUCAAAUUUAAAAAAAAAAUGAUAAAGAUUUUUUUGCCUUUAUCCCACUGCUACGCUCAGUGACACUACAGCAACCGAAAGAACGCUCCUUGAAAAAACACAAAAGAACAAAAACAACAAUAAUGAAAACCAAAAAAUUAAAUUAUCUUAAUCAAAUAAUCACAGACGAAAACAAUGGAAAUGAGUUUUAAACCAAUAAAGUUUGAGAAAUUGAGCCGUAGACUGACCUAAAGGGGUGGUGGUUGAAAAACAGGGAAUCAAAUCCAAUAAUCGUGUGUUGUUUGGGAAAGAGCAUGAAAGGUCAAGACUAAUAACCCAUUGAGCACCUUGCUUCACGAAAAGUAUUUUCACUAAACUUACCUAAAGUCCUUGAUAUUUAGUACUAUUCAACUAAAUUAUUAGUAUGAUAAAUUUACAUCUCUAAAUAUUUAACAAUGAGAUAUGACAAAUAGAUCCCCACAUCAAGAUUCCGUAAGAAUUGGAGUUAAAAUGGGGACGUGCAUCACAUGUAAUUUAUGUUAUGCCAAAAAAACCCCCUCCUUCAUGGGAUAACAAGUAAGAACGAAACCAGCAUGUCUUUUUUUAACUUUAUUUCUUCUUUUUGACUUGAUACUCAAGUAUGCACUAAAUUUUUUAUACAAAAUAAAUAUAUAUCCUCUAUAUUUUAUUACAUGCAAAUAAAUUUAUAAUUUUUUAUUUUUAUUAUAAAUAAAUUCAUACAUUUUUUAAAUCACAUAAUUAAAUUUAUUUUCAUUAAAUGAGAUUAAUUAAAUCUAUUAAUUUUAGUCCAAACCUCAAAAACACACUCAAUUCACCUAUUUCAACCGAUCCAGACGAAAAUUAAAAACAAUUCCAACUCAAAUUAAUUAAAAUUCAAAUCAAUAUGAACUCAAAAUGAACAAAAUUAUUCAAAAUUAAAAUGAUCCAAAAAAUUAAUCCAAAAUAAUUGAGAGGUCGGUAUUAAAUUAAAUAUAAUUUUAAUUAAAAACAUUAAUUUAAUAAAAUAAUAAAUAUAACACAAAUAAAAUUUAUACUUAUCAUUUAUCGUUAAUCAUCUAUAAGGCACCUGCUAUGAGAUUGUUAUCUUAAUUUUUUUUUUUCUCAAUGAAAAUGAAAUUUAUACCAUCCUGAUAAAAACCACUUAAACAAAUAGGGAGGACACGCCACAUUCUCAUCUUCGGUUCAAUAAUUUAAGUAGGAAUGACAGGAUUAUCUUUCCAUCUGGUUUCCCCUUUGACUGGCUAAGAUUUCAUGUAGAAGAACAAUAGCUCUGGAGAACACUUUCCAAUGUUUGAUUGUAUUAUUUACGCUUUAUUCUUGUUUAAUUUGGUUUUUUACCUAUGUACUAAUUAUGUGAAAACGUUCAUGGUUUAUAGGCUCCAAGCGUUUUUGUUUAUAUUUUAUAUUUUGUUAUUUAAUUUAUUAUUUGAUAAUAUAUAUAUGUUUUGUUUUUAAAAAAUAUAUAUAUAUAAUUUAUUUGUAUUUGAUAUAAAUAUUAUUACAAAUAAAGAUGAUGUAAAAUAAAAAUAUAAUGUAAAGAAAAAAUAUAUCAUUUUUAUAUUUUUAAAAUAAUUUAUUUUUAUAAUAAAUCAAUCAAAUAUAAAUUUUUUAUAUAUUAUAAAUUUUAAAAUUUUAAAUAUAAUUUAAAAAAUAUUCAUUUAUAUAUAUACAUAAAAUAAAUAAAAUUACUUCGUACAUGAAUUACAAUCUAGUUGAUGAUACGAAGCAAAACAAACAACAAAGUUACAUUUGAAAUCGACUGCAACCUCGUGAGAUUGGCAAUUUUCUUUUGUUUUUUAAUACAAUCACACUAGACACAGCACUUAAUGAACAAGAUAGAGCAUGAUUGCACCAAAUAAUUCUCACGGCAAGUCAAACUAAAGCACAACUAAAGGACGGCCAGGUGGUCUCCAUUGUACGAUCCCUGGGUCUCGAUUGUGCACUUGUGCGCUGUGGCACAUGAUUUCUAUCGGUGAAGUAUUAUUUUUGAGUAAAUUAUACCAAAGUCCUUAUUUUUAACCACUGAUAUAGCAUCGCUCCAUCAGUACGAUACAUAUACAGUUCACGUUUCCUUUAUUCGACUAAGGAGCUCUUGUAAAAACACAAAACACUUGAAUUUCAAAUCAAAACUUUUUCUAUCUUCUCAUGAGCUAUCUAAUUAUUUGUGUUCAUAAAUUAAAAUAUUAAAAUAUAUAUUUCUAUUAUACUUUAUGUAAAUAUUAUGUUAUGAUUUAUACUAAUAAAAAUAUAAAAUAUAAAUUUUAAUUUUAUUAAAUUUAUAUAUAUUAUUAAAAUUUUAAAUUAUAUUAAUAUUUUAAAUUAAAUGAUAUAGCUGUCAAAUCCUUUAUAAAAAAAAUAUGCAUAGUCUUUUAAUGUUUUAGCCAUGACAUACUAGAUAAAUUUAGAUUUGAUAAUUUACAUAUUUUUAUCAUAUAAAUAGUAAAAAUUUAUAUAUUAAUAUUAUAUUUUAUAUAAAAAUUAACAUAUCAUAAUUCAUAUCGAUACAAAAAUCAUAAAAAUAUUUUUUAAUUUAUUAUAUAUUUAUGAUUUUUAUUAAAAUUUUAAAAUUUAUUAUUUUUUAUAUUUUUUAUUUACAUUAUUUUCAUGUGAUUAUUAUCCACUAUUAUAUUUUAAAAUUAUUUAAGUUUACAUAAAACCCUUAAAAAUCAUAUCAAAUUUUUACUAGAAUUGGAAUUAAUUCUAUUUACAUUUAUUAAAAAUUAUUAAAUGCACCCAUUUUUCAUUUAAAAAAAAAUCCAAUAAUUAUUAACUUUUAACAAUUACUUUUUUAGUAAAUAACAGGAAUUAUUUUUUACUUAUUCAAUGCACCAUAUGUACAUCCACAGUUUAAUAAAUUCUAAAUUCAUAAAUUUGAAAAUGUUGUGAAAUUGGAAUAUUUAUAUUUAUUUUUAAAUUUACAAAAGAAACAUUUUUAUCAUUCAUGAUUUUAUAAAAAAAAUUAAUAAAUUAAAAUUUAAUUUUAUCAAAAUUUAACUAAAAAAUAAACCUUAAAUUUAAUUGAAACUUAUAAUUUUGAAAUUUGGAUUGAAAUUUAUGAAUUUACAAAUAUAUAAGCUUUUAAAAAUUUAUCUGUAAGUUCAUCAAAUUUAUCUAAUAUCAUUCAACAUAUUUUUUAAUUCUUUUUUAAAUUGUGACGAAAUUGAUGAUAGAAGUAAAUCAAAUAAUAAGGCUGAAUUCAAAAUCCACAAGUGGAAUUCUAGGGGCAGUUGCUCUACUCAUCGUCCUUCAACACUUGAGGCUACAAGCUUUGAAAGUUUAAGUGACAUGGCUUCACGUGGGUUCGAGCAUGAAAGGCGAUGCUUGGGACGAGGGGCCCCUAACAUUCCUCAACUGAUAGAGCUCGAGGAAUUCAGCAGUAGAAUGAGUUAAAAGAAUGUUACUUGAGAGAAUGGAGAAUCAAAACCACUAAUUGUGUGUUGUCUGCAAACGAGCCCGAAAAGUAAAGACUACUAAAAAAUUGAAAAGCACAGCCAGCUGGUCUCCAUUGCCCCCCCCGGGUCUCGAGUUCUACGCUUGUGAGCUGUGGGCCAAUGGCACAUGAUUUCUGUCGGUAAGUUUUUCUUUUGUUCUGAGACCUUCCUCGAAAGUUAUUUUGAGCAUGAAUAAUUUAACGUUGGAUCGAAUUUUAUAAGAAAAGUAAAUUUUUUUAACAUUUAUUUUUUUAUUUAUAAGAUUAAAAAUUAAAAUUUUAUUUUAAAAAAAUUAAAUUUUUAAUCUUUCGAAUUAACAAACGUUAAAAACUAAUAUAAUAACACUCCAUCAAUAUGAUAAUUAUAUAGUUGUCGUCUCAUUUGUAUGGUCAUGGAGCUCUUAUAAAAACACACAGAACUCAUAGAUUUCAAAUCAUAACUUUUUUUUAUCAUGAGUUUUCUAAUUAUUUUAUAUAUUUACAUAUUAUAAAAUAUUAAAAUUUAUAUAUUUAUAUUAUUUUUAUAUAAAAAUUAUGUAUUAUAAUUAAUGUUGAUAAAAUAUAUAAAUUAUAUUUUUUAUUUUAUUAAAUCUAUAUUAUUUAUUAUUAACCAACAGAAUGUCAUUAUCAGUCACCUUUACUACAUGAUUCUAUUCACAUUCUUGCAUUAAAGUUUCAGACUUUAAUUCAAUACUGUCCCCACUCACUAGUCGCUUCACGUGAAAUAGAAAGAAGCCGCUUUUAAUGAACUCAUUGACGAUCAUUUGAAAUAUAUCAGGAAGAGGCAUCGUAAAGUAUUUUUAAUUGGCUAGAGUUAAAGGAAUGGACAAAAAGCAUGAUUUGUUACGUAACUGAGGAUGGUAGCCAUAGGAUGGAAAGAGUGGAACUUGCCCUGCAACUUCGCAAAAAAAAUUAAUGGUCAAACAAGAGUCCAAUCUUUAUAUAAAAAAAUAUGCGUCGUCCACCAACGUUUUAUCCAUGACAUGACGGAGACAGCCUUACAAAUCACAUCAAUUUUCUGUUAAAAAUUGGAAUUAAGAGUUUCUAUUUACAUUUAAAAAUUCUCUAUGCACCUAAUUUUUUUAUUUAAAAAAAUAAAAUAAUUAUUAACUUUUAACAAAUUAUUUUUUACUUAUUCCAUGGACCAUUUUAAUUCAUAAAUUCAUAAGAUUGUAAACAUUUUUAGAUUUGAAUAUUUAUAUUUUAAAUUUAUAAAAAAAUAUUUUUGUCAUUCAUGAUUACAUAAAAAAUUUAAUAAAUUUAAAAAUAAAACAUAUAGAUUUUUUUUACAAUUAAUGUGCAAAAGAAAAUGAUUAAAAAAAAGAUAGAGUUGCUAAAUUGAAAAUUAUAUAUACAUAUCAAUUUUCAGUUCUUGAUCAAUUUUAAAAUAUCUCAUUAUUAAGCUUUUUUGUAUGAAGAAGAACUAAUAUAUAAAUUUGAAGACUCUAAUGUAAUUUUGGAAAGAAUGCCAAUUUAUGUUUAAACAAAUAAAAUUAAUUCAUGCAUGGACAGAUAAUAAUAUAGUUAUGUUAUAUUUAUACUUGAUAAAAAUAUUAAAAGGCAUGAUCUAAAAACUUUGAAAGAAGUAGUUUUUAAAUAUAUUUUAUACAAUUUAAUUAAUUAAGAUGUUAAAAAUAGAAGUCAAGAAAGAAAUGUUGAUGAAAAAAUUAAAUAUGACUAUUUAAAUGGGAUGGAUGGAUUAUUCUUUUAAAUAACUUAUUUGAAAUAACAUUUUUUUACUUAAAUUUCGUGAAAGGAUUGAAAUAGAAGGGUUACGACGUUUUAAAAUAUAUCAACCAAAAUCCAAUCUUGUUAUUUUUUAGAAAGAUCUAUGACCACGAGGUUUUUUUGUAAUUUAAUUUAUUGUUAUUUAAAUAUACAGUAGAUUUAUUUAUAAUAAAAAAAAUAUUUUUAUAUCAGUAAAGGUAAUACAAAUUUAAUUAGAUGUAGAUCUUCAAAUGUUACACUUUAGGCAAAUACGCACACGAAACUAUAUAAAUAUAUAAAUAUAUAAAUAAAUAAAUAUUGUAUAAAUAUGAUAAGAGUAGAACUGAAAAAUUAAAGUUGAGUUUGAUAGUUUUUUUUUUUGUUUUUACCUUCUUUCUUCUUCAAAAUUUUAUUUCAAAGUCAAAGAAAAGUGUAAAAAAUAAAAUAUAAUUGAUUAAAAUAGACAUAUAAUUAAAAUAUACACCAAUUUAUAAUGUAAGAAAUUACAAAAGGUAUAAUCAUCAUUUUAUUUGCUAAAUAACUUACAGAUUUUAUAAUCUUAAAAAUAUUGAUUGAGUUUAGUCAAAUGCAUUUUUUUUUAUUAAAAUUUUAUUUAAAAAAAAAAUCUUUUACCUUGACCUUUACUUUUACUUUUAGUCAAAACCAAUAAAUGUGUCAGAGCAUGAAAAGCCAAGACUAUAAAAUGAAAAGCAUACCCAACUUGUCUCCAUUGCGUGCCCCUGGGUCUCCAAUUGUGCGUUUGCAGGCUGUGGGACGUGGUUCCCGUCGGAAAAGAAUGUUUUUACAAAAUUACACUAAAGUCCUUGACAUUUAGCACUAAUACAACAUCAAUCUAUUAGUAUAAAAUUUAAAAAUUUUAUUGAAAAAUUUUAUUUACACUCACAAAAAAAAUUUUUAGACACCAUUAUUAAAUACAUCCCACUUUCAAAAUAAAAAAUUUUAUUUAUUUUAUAAAUACACCCAUUCUAACAAAAUUACAGUUUGUUUCAUAUUCUUUUAACUUUCUUCUUUAUUUUUUCAUUUUCAAUCCAAAUUUAAUCCAAAUUUAACAUUAAAACCAUUAAAUUAUAGAUACAAUUUUGACAUGUUUGUUGAUUAAUUUAAUUUAAAUUAGUGCAAAAAUUAUGUAGAGUUUACAAUAAUAUUUCAUCAAAUUCAAGGUUUUUAAAAAUAAAUUUUCAAAAAAUUUUUAAAAUUAUUGAAAAUGGAUUUUUGAAAAUUUUUAAUUUUUGACUAUUAAUUUUCAAGAUCUUUAAAGAUUUCUCAAAAAUAAAUUUUUAAGUGUCUUUUAAAACUUUAAAAAUGAAUUUUUGAGACUUAUUCAAAAAUAAUUUCCAAAACUUAUUCUCAAAUAAAUUUUCAAGAGUUUUAAAAAAUUUUUUAAAAUAAAUUUUUGAAAGUUUUUUGAAACUUUCAAAAAUAAAUUUUUAAAAAUUUUAAAAGGUUAUUAGAAACUUAUCUUCAAAAGCUUUAAAGUUGAAGUGUAAGAAAAAUAAACUUAUUAUUUAUUGUAGAAUAAAAUUAAUAUUUUAUAUGUGAAUAUUUUAAAAUAUAUAUAUCGAAGAGUAAAAAAAAAAAAUUGAUGGUAUAUUUAUAAACACUUAAAAAAAUAUGCGUUGUCCUCGAACGUUUUAUUUAUGACGUGAUAGAUACACUUUAAAAAAAUCACAUCAAGUUUCUAUUAUAAUUAAGGUUAGAGCUUUUAUUUACAUUUAAAAACUCUCGAUGCAUCAAUUUUUUAUUUAAAAAAAUCCAAUAACUAUUAACUUUUAACAUAUUACAUUUUACUUCUUCAAUGCACCAUUUUUAAAUCCCAUCGAUUUACAAAUUCAUAAAUUCAUAAGUUUGCAAAAAUUUAUGGAAUUGAAUAUUUAUAAAUUUUUUAACUUUAAGAAGAAGCAUAUUUUAUCAUCCACGUUUUAUAAAAAAAUUUCAUAAAGUAAAUUUUAAUUUAAUCAAAAUUUAAGAAAAAACAAAUCCUAAAUUUAAUUGAAACUUGUAAUUUUGAAAUUUUGAUUAAAAUUUAUGAAUUUACAAAUUUAUAAGCUUUUAAAAAUUUAUUUGUAAACUCAUCAAAUUUAUCCAAUGUCAUUCAAAAUAUAUUUUUUAUUUUUAAAAAUUAUGAGACCAAAGUAUCUGUACAACAUACAACUUAGACUGAGAUUAAAGUAAAUUUAUCUAAAAAUAAGAUAGACUUAUUAUUGGUCUAAAUCCACACAUAAAUAAAGUGAACUGGAAUAAGAAUAUUGCGUUCACACUAACUGAAAAAGAAGAUUAUGAAUAUGAAAAAAAUUGUGGUCAAGUUUAUGAGUAAAUUAACAGAUUAUAUUUACAUGCAAAUUUCAUGAUUUUAAGCGUGAUUCUAACAAUACAAUUUAAAAGUUUUCAUGCCUAAAGGAUGUUAGUAGCCUAUAUAUUUUUUAUUAAUCUUUAGUAAAAAGGCAGGAUAUAAUUUGAUUUAUCCUUAGGCAAUCUUUAUGAUUGUUCUUCAAGUUUUGUAUCUCUUUGAUGGAUUUUUUAGAAUGAUAAACUUUUAUUGUUUUAUAUCUUUGAUUAGAAUUUUUAAGAUGGUAUUUUUGUAUCUCUUAAUUUUUAGCCUUAGUGAUAAAUUUUUAUCUCUUUUAAUCAAAUAAUUAUCUUUUAUCAUUAUUCAAAUCCUUAUGAGUUAUUUUUUUGUUAAUUUUUUUUAUUUACAGUUAACUUUUAUAUCUCAAACAUCAAUUCUCCACAUUAAAUUGUUACUAAAUUGAUGAUAUGAAUCAAAACAAAUAAUAAAACUGCAUUUGAAAUCCAUCGUAACCCAUUUCGUGAGAUUAACAAUCUUUUUGUAUAUAAUCACAUUGGACAGAGCAUUUGAAGAACAAGAAAUAGCAUGAUUACACCAAAUAAAUUUCACCGCAAUUUAAAAAUCCUUAGGGGGUCUAGUGGAUUUUUUUCAUUCCCACCGCUAUUUCUGUUUCUAAACACACACUUGCUUUAUUUAUUUAUUUAUUUACUUUUGAAACUAAAAUAUAUAAAUUUUUUUUCAUUUUUUGUUUUAUUUUUUAAACUUUAUUUUGAAAAAAAAAACUAAUUAUUAUUUAAAAUAUAAAAAAUUAUCUUUUAUCAAUUUUUUUAAACAAUGAAAACGAUCUUUCACCUUUGCCCCGCCACUACGUUCAGUGACCCCUAAACAUUCGAAAGUCACAAAAGAACGAAAGCUGCAAUACUGAAACCAAAAGUUGUAGUUAUCUUAAUCGAAUAAUCACAUAUGAAAACGGUGAAAAAGAGCUCAAACGAAUAAAGCUUGAGGAAUAAAGUAGCAGAACGAGUUAGUGGAACAGGGAAUCAAAACCAAUAACUGUGUAUUGUCCGUCUGCCAAAGAGCAUGAAAAAGAGCUCAAACGAAUAAAGCUUGAGGAAUAAAGUAGCAGAACAAGUUAGUGGAACAGGGAAUCAAAACCAAUAACUGUGUAUGUGUAUAUAUGUUAUGUUUAUGUUAUAAUUAUAUUAUUAAAUUUUAAUGAUGUAAUUUAAAAUAAAUCAUAUAAUAAGUUACAAUUAUACUAAAAUUCAAAAUAAUAAAUUAUUAAAUAAUUAGCUUCAAAUAUACUAAAAUGAUCAUUUAUAUUGUAGCUUAUUAUUAAUAUGAAAAAUGUGUAUUGUAAUUUAAAGUUUAAAAUACUAUUUAUAUAUUUAUAUUAAAUUAAAAUAAAUAUAAAAAUCUAUUAAAUAUGUCAAACUUGACAAAAUUGUUUUUUCAGUUUAAUAGGUGUACUCGUAUGAAACGAUUUAAUCAUUUUUUUUGUAUCUUACAUUUAUCAAAAUUUGUACUAACAUAACUAAACACUAUAUACAUUUUUCUAAAACCUAUAUAAUUUUUUUGUAUUAUAUUAUUGCGUUGUAUUUAAAUUUGUCAAGUUUAAUAAAAUCACAUAUUGUUUCAUUUGUGUAAAAAUUAACUUUAAUUAAAAGCAUACAAAUUGAAAUAUUUAUAUUUGUUUUUAAAAUAUUGUUUUUUUUUCACUUGUUAUCUUUUAGUAAAAUUAUAAUAAAAUCUAACUCAAAUUUUAUUAAUUUGAUAGUAAAAAUUAAUAAAUUUACUUGAAAUGAGCCGAACUCAAAUAGUUUAGAUGCUAAACCAAACUAUUUGAACUGAAAUAACCCAAAAUCGAAAUGAUCAAACCCAAAAUUAAUCCAUUUUUUAAAAUCCGAAAUAAUUUGAAAUUAAUUAGUUGAACUCAAACUUAGUUUGACCCAGCUAAUCAACAAAUCUAGACUAACUGCCAUUUGUAUUGCACAAUUGACAUACUGCAUACAUGAUGACAUGUAAAAUGAUAUCUACGUGGACUGAUUACAUGCCAUUUUGAUUGAAAAAAGCUUAAUUAUGCAAAUAUGCCCUUAAUUUUUCUAUACAAAAUAGAUAUAAGCUAUCGAUCUUCCAUUAUAUUUUAAAAUUAUUUUUGAAAAUUUUUAUUUUUGAAUAAAAUAAAAAAGCAUCAAAAUUAAAAAAAAUAGAAAAAAAAUAAAAACAAAUAGAAGAAAAUUGAGAAAGAGAUUAAAAUUUUUUCAUAAAUUAUAAAAAAUCUAAAUUUUAUAUUAAAAUUUUAUUUUUGAAAAAAUUCAAUAAAUAAUUUUUUUAUUUUUUCAAAUUUGAAAAAUUACAAAAUAGAAAAAUAAAAAUUUUGAAAAAUAUUUGUUUCAUAAAAAUUCAAAAAUAUUUGUUUUUUUUUCAAAAAUAAAAAUUUCACAUAAAAAAUAGAUUUUUAUUAAAAAAUCGAUUUUGUGUUAAAUUUUAUUUUUGAAAAAUAAGGAAAUAUUUUUACCUUAAAAUUUUUAUUUCUAAAUAAAAAUAAAAUUUUGAAAUAAGAAACUAAAAAAAAUUAAGAUAUUUUUCAUUUUCUGUAUAUUUAUAUUUUUAAUUUUUUCAAAAAUAAAAUUUUAACUUAAAAUUUGUAUAUUUUAAAUUUAUGAACAAAUUUAAUAUCUUUCAUGUUUUUUUUCUUCUUUUUUAUUUUCUUAUUUUUAAAAUUUUUAAAAUUUUUUACCUUUUGGUUUUUGUCAAAAAUAUAAAAAACAUAAAAAAUAAUUUUAAAAUACAAUAAAAGGACCAGAGUUUGUAUUCAUCCUAUGUAACAUGUUGAGAGUAUAUUUGCAUAAUUAAACUUUUUUAGUUAAAAUGAUAUGUCAUCAGUCCACUCGGAUAUCAUUUUACAUGUUAUCAUUCUCGUACAAUGUUAAUGGACAAUACUUACAUGAAAUUUGUACAAUGUUAAUGAACAAUACUUACAUGAAAUUUUAUAAGUAAAGUUUUUCAUUAGAAAUGAGUAAAUAAAAAAUUUUAAUAAAUUAUAUAGAUUAGAAAAUUUUAAUAUAAAAAAAUUAUUAAAAAUAUUAUUUAUAAUUCAAAUUUGAUUAAUACUUAUUUAAUGGUAAAAAUUAUAUCAAAAUUAUUAUUAAAAAUAUCUAUUUAAUAAAGAUAUCAAAAUUUAUUAAUUAUUUUAAUUUUAUAUAUUUAAUUUAUAUAAUAAAAUCUUUCAAGCUAUUAUUUUUUAAUUUUGAUUUAUUAAUUUUUAGUAAAAAAAUUUCAUAAAUUUCAUUGACAAAACUUCAUGUGAGUCUUUUUCUGAUGUCAAUUGUAUAAUACAAAAUGACUGUUAGUCUUACUUAAUUGAUUUAGACUUAAUUAUGUAAUUUUAAAAGUUUAUGAGUUUAUUUUUGACAAAAUAAAAAAUUAUAAAUAUAUUUACACGCAAUAAAAGUUAAAGAAUAUUUAUCUAUUUUGUACAAAAGAUUGAGCUUGGAUAUUAAAUAAUUCAAAAAAUGACUUAGCUUGGUUUAUCUCCCUCUCAGACAUCUUGGCUCUGCUCCUCUUAUAUUGUUUCUCAUCCCUUGUUGAACCAUCUUAUAUUUGACAACUACAGUCAAAUUUUUGUUUUGUUGUUGUUGAGUCUAUUUGGAUGAAUAAUAAAAUAAAAAAUAAUAAUAAAUGUAAGAUUGAUUAUUAUAAUGAUGUGUUUAAAAUCAAUAAUAAAAUAUAUAUUUAAAUGUAAAAGUAAUAAUAAUAAUAAUAAAAUGAACUGUAAUGAAAAAAUAAAAUGAUCAUUAAAAAUUAUAUAUAAUAAAAAUUUAAACUAUUUAUUAUUUAUAAGAUUAAUAAAUAAUUAAAAAAGUUAUUAAAUUGUUUUAAUAUCAAAUAAUAAUUUUAUUAAUAGAUAAUUAAUAAUUAAUAAAAAUAAUAAUAUUUCAAAUAAUGUUUUAUUGUAUAAAAUUAAUAAAACUAUUUCAAAAUUUUAAAUAACAAAUCAAAAUAAAAAAUAAAAAUAAAUUAUAAAGAUUUUUUUAUAUUUAUAUAUAACUUUAAGAGAAAAACAAAGAAAAAAAAAGUGUUAUUUGAGAUUGGUUGUGGAUUUUGGUUUGAAUUUGAUAGAGGAAAAGAAAAGACAAUGGUGGUAUAGAAUAAACCAAUCAACUGUUACUUUAAUAAUAUUAAAUUCGAUUUCAAAUUUAACGUCUCGAAUUAUAACUUCGAUGAUAAAAAAAUUGGACCAAUCACCUCAACCCAAACAAUAAUUUUCCCGACCAUGAAUUACAAUUUCCAAUUACAUUUUAUCCUCUGAAAAUUGGACCAAUCACCUCACUCGUUUUCAAUCUCCUUUCUGGCUAUCUCCAUUUUCCAAGCUUUACAUUUUAAAUUCCCAACGGCUUUUCAAAUAGCUUUUGAACUUAGAAAAAGAAAAUUCAUAAAUAAAAUUGAAGUAGUUUUGUUUGGUAAGACUCUCUAGCAGCCUGCCAGGUGAGAUGAGGACUGUAGCAUAUCCCUUAUUUCACGCCUAAAUGUCUAUAAAAUCCCUCUACAUUCUCCCAUAUUUCAAUUUUGCCGCUCUCCUCUCUCCCUUUCCUCCCGCCUACCGUUCUCCACAAUGGCCUCUGCAAUUCAGUCCUCUUCCCAGGUAUUUACACACUCAACUUUCUGCUUGUUUAUAUGGAUAAUAUAUAUAUAUAUAUAUAUAUAUAUAUAAAGAAAAACUGGGUUUUCUUUUUUGUACUUAUUUUUAUCUGAAAAAUAGUAAAGUGAUUGGAAAAGAACCCUUUUUUGUUAUAGAAUUAAUGAGCUUUUUUUGUUUAUUUUUCCAGGCUGUGUCUUCUGGGGAUGUUAACAAGGAAACCAAUUGUUUCAGUUAAUUCAAGCUCACCAGGUUUGUUUAAUUUUGUGUAUGUAAUAUUUAAAUGUCGUUGCUAUAUAUGUUUCCCUUCUUUUUUCUUUUUUAUAUUGUAGUUAAAUGGGGUUUGUAAGUUAUUGAAAUGAGACUGUUCUAUUUUCAGGAGAAGGCUGCUAUGCUUUCUCCGAUGGAGAAAAUUCGUACCGUGCUUGAUCAAAGCACGCGUGGCAUGCUUUCAACUUUUUCGCAGGUAUGUGAUCAUAUUACUAGUUGAUCAUUUAUGAUUUCGGGUUCAUUGAGCAUUAAGAGUAAUAGCAAGAUACCUUUGAUACUUGUUUACUCUUCAAAACAGAUUGUUUUAAUUGUAAGCUUGAGUUCUUGACUUUUGUCUGGUACUUUGUAUAUUAUCUUGUUGAGAGAAAAGAGAGCUACUUGAAAGGUGUUACUACUUCAUGAGUUUUAAAAGUGAAAGGUACUUUCCAAUCACUUGUGGCCUUGUAGGAUUUUUAUCAAUAAGUCUACCCUUUCUGUGGAGAUGAUUAGGAAUGAAGAAUUUUUAAGGAUUCGUGUUUUGCAGAUCAUAAUCUCAUCUGCUAGCAGAGAAUUCUAAAAAUGAGAAUUGAAUCUAUUAACCAUUGCACAUCUUCAAAAUGAAUAAUAACUUGAUCAACUAGCUGCAGAAGACUCCUAUAUUCUGAGCUUGCACAAGCUGUAGCUGAAUCUUGCAAAAUUUCCUCUUUUUUUUCAUCCUUCCUGGUUGCAGUUAUGGUGUCUUAGACCAUGCUGUUGUAAAGUUGAAUGAAUGCUGAUGCAACUAAUAUUUUCUAUAUAUAAACUAUAUGAUGGAAACAAGAUCUUUCAUAAUGUAGGGUCCUUUGGCACUAAUUGCGAAAGCCUUUGGAUGGAACUAAAAUGAUGAGUUAUAUGUGCUUGAACAACUCAUAGUAGGAUUUUUUGUUAGUUCAUAUGCAACUAAGAACUAGGAUCAACCUUUUGCUUGUUUGUCAGGUCAUCACAGUCAUCACUUAGACAUUUUUUUAGUUGUUGGCUCACGCAUUAGGAAAUUUUCUUCUUGUUCUCUUACUCAUUUUGGCUUCUUUUUUGUAUGCAGAAGCAUGAGGGCUAUCCAUCAGGGUUGAUGGUUGACUUUGCAUGUAAUGCCAAUGGAUAUCCAAUAUUAGCAGUCAGCAGCCUGGCGAUUCAUACAAAGGUUCUCACUUAGAUUUUGAAUUUUACGUGAACGAGUGCUUUGAAUUGGAAUCUAUUCAUCCAUUGCCCUGGCUCAGAGGAAUUAAGAGAAGGGGAUUGAAACAUCAAAAGGAUAUUGCAUAGAUGUUCAGAUUUUUCUUGUUCAUGGAGAUGGGGACCCAUAAAUUCCAAUCAUGUUAAAUAUUACGAUUUUAAAUUGAUAUUUUCAUUUUGCUAAAAUUUGACGAAGCCAUUGAUGACAGCCAGGAAAGGUCUAAUUUAUGCCUGUGUUCUUGUGAUUAGGAUUAGUUGCUUAUGUUCUAGUCACCAACCUGCAUUCAUUCUACCAUUUAGAAGUUUCUCCCUUCUUAAUUCUAUUGUCCUUUUUGACCUAAUGGAGAAGUUUUGUCCUUUUUCCCUAAUAAUUAUUAAAAAAUUGAUGCUUUUCACAGGACCUAUUGGCUAAUCCCCAAUGUUCAUUGCUUGUUGCAAGAGAUCCUGAUGAUGGCACUGAUUUAGUAAUCACCCUGCAUGGUGAUGCUAUUUCUGUAAGGUGUUUGUUAUUUCCAUUCUCCUGUUAUUCAUCUCUUAGGGGAUGCUGCUUUAAACUCAUUUGUGAGCUCUACAUCUUAUUAUUUAACAUCCUAAUUCUUUGGUGUUCUGAAGUAUUUGAAAUGAUGUAUUGAUCAAUUACAUAGGUAUCCAAAACAGAUCAAUUAGCCGUUCGAACUGCUUAUUUGGCUAAACACUGUAAUGCAUUCUGGGUAUUUGUCUCUCCUCCCCCUGCAUGUUAUGUCCCUUUGGAUGAAUCUUGUCACUAAUCUGUUUAGAUAGAGAACUCAGCAUAUACUUCCAUUGUGAAGGUUGACUUUGGUGACUUCCAAUUUAUGCGCAUUGAACCAAAGGUUGUGAGAUAUGUAUCAGGUGUUGCAACAGCUUUGCUAGGGUCAGGAGGUUUGUGCUCUGAUUACUUUUCUGUAUCAUAUCCUACAUUUCUUCCACCCUAUAAUCUUUUUGAAGAAUAUUAAUGGCUUCUGCAUACAAAAAAGAAGCCAAAAUGAGUAAGACAAGAAGAAGAAAAUUUCCUAAUGCGUGAGCCAACAACUAAAAAAAUGUCUAAGUGAUGACUGUCAUGACCUGGCAAACAAGCAAAAGGUUGAUCCUAGUUCUUAGUUGCAUAUGAACUAACAAAAAAAUCCUACUAUGAGUUGUUCAAGCACAUAUAACUCAUCAUUUUAGUUCCAUCCAAAGGCUUUCGCAAUUAGUGCCAAAGGACCAUACAUUAUGAAAGAUCUUGUUUCCAUCAUAUAGUUUAUAUAUAGAAAAUAUUAGUUGCAUCAGCAUUCAUUCAACUUUACAACAGCAUGGUCUAAGACACCAUAACUGCAACCAGGAAGGAUGAAAAAAAAGAGGAAAUUUUGCAAGAUUCAGCUACAGCUUGUGCAAGCUCGGAAUAUAGGAGUCUUCUGCAGCUAGUUGAUCAAGUUUUUAUUCAUUUUGAAGAUGUGCAAUGGUUAAUAGAUUCAAUUCUCAUUUUUAGAAUUCUCUGCUAGCAGAUGAGAUUAUGAUCUGCAAAAUUCAACUAAUUUUAUGAUCCCAUCACAAAAUUCAACUUCAAGAGUCAUCAGAUUCUGGAAACAUACUGAGGAUGGAACUAAAUUACUUUUUAAUUUGGGGCACCUUUUUUCAUGUAAAAUCCUUAGAUUUUGGAAUCCUUCCUCACCACCAACUCCUUCACUUUGGAAUACCAACUCUUUGAAGUAACAAUUAAAUAUUUCAAGCCUUCCGAGAUUGGGUAAGGAUAGUAAUUGGAACAGGUAAGAUGGGAAUACGGCUAAUUGUUGAGGAUACCGUACAAGUCGGAGAAUUUUUAGUUUGCAAAAGUAGUCCGAUGCAAGUAGUUGGCCAUGCAAUAUCUCCUUCAUCCCAUCAUUCCAUCCGAGCGCAAGUUGUUGUAGAUUUGGGAAUGCCAACUGCACAAUUCAUGCAAGUGUUAAUGGGACGGAGGAUGUGCUGUUAAAAGGGAUAAAAAAGAAUGAUUGUAAUGUGGAGGAAUAUCGAGAGAAAUUUUAAAAAGUAUAUUCUUAAUAUAAAAAGUGUAUCUUUUCUUACAGACUCGUAUAGACUUAUAUAGUAUUAGCUGAUUUGAGUUUGUUAUUAUUAGUAACGUAUUUUUUUUGUUAAAAAAAAUAGAUACAAUCAUUUUCUAACUUUUGAUACACAUCAAUUUUUACAAAAAUUUAGAAUUUAAAAAAUCUUUUAAUGCAUAUAACUUUACUGAAAAACUAGUAAAGUAUACACUUACAGAAAAAAUCAAAAUCUGACUAUUGAAAUUUAAAGAUACCUCUCCAGUUAAAUUAUAAGUCAAUCGGAAGCUAUACUAUCAAAUCAUAUAUUCUAUCUUUGUAAACAAAUUAGAAUAUUUUAUUUUUACAAAUAUAUGAAUACUUGACAUUUUCUUUUUAAUAUUUAUUAUGUUGCCAUUUUUUUUUUUCGAAACAUAUCAAUCUAUUUUUUAAAAUUUUGAUCUAAAGAUUAUUUAGGAUUUAAGAUUAAGGGGAGCUAAAUACACCCCAAUUUUUUUCUUCAUAUCCUAUUUUUUAAAAUGUUUUUAGGUAAAAUUAUUUAAUUAUAUUUUUUUUACAAAUUUUUGAAUAUUCAUAUUUGGUAAGUUACAUAAUUUUUUGAAAAUUUAUUUUUGGAAAGUUAUAUCAAAAUAAAUUUUUAAAAAGUUAUAUAACUUUUCAAAAAAUCAUAUAGCUUUUCGAAAAUUCAUUUUGGAUGUGAGAUAGUAAAAAUUUUUUUUUAAAAAUUACAAAAUAGAAAUUUUAUUAAAAACUAUUAUUAAUUAAUGUAAUGAAAAACUUAUUAUUGAAAAAUCAUAAAUUUUAAAAUUAAUAAAAAAAGUUCCUUUUACUAUUUUAACCAAAAAAAAAAAGAAAAUUUUAUGAAACUCUAAUUAAUAUUUUGUCUCUUGAUAUUACGAGAGAUGAUAAAAAAACUAUUAAGUCACAUUUGAAAGCUGAAACUCUUAAAAGUUGUACAAGUAAUAAUACUAAAUACGAUAUAAUUUGUCAAAAUCUUAUAUGCUAACUAUAAAAAUCCAUCGUGAUAAGUAAAUAGAAAGAUUUUUUCAAAAAUUUCAAUUAAGUUAAAAAAUGGUUUAUUAAAAAAAUAUGAAUUUUAAAUUUAUAAGAAAGUCAAAAUAAUGAAAUUAACUUUUUUAUUAAUUCUAAAAUUUAUGAUUGUUUCUAAUAAUAACUUUUUUAUUACACUAAUUAAAAUUUUUUUUAAUAAAAUUAUCUUUUUGUAAUUUUUCUUAAAUUUUCACUAUGUCAUCUUCCACAAAUGGAUUUUCAAAAAAUUAUAUAAUUUAUUGGAUAUGAAUAUCAAGAAACUUAUAAUAAAGUGUAAUUAAGUAAUUUCAUUUUAAAAAAGAUUUGAAAAAAAAAAAGCAUGUGAAAAGUAAAAAAAAAUGAUGCAUUAAUAUACCACUCUUUAAGAUUUAAGGGGCUAGAAAUCUCAUUAGCAAUUAGCAAUAUAAAUAGUUUACCCUCUAUUAGAUUGUUGAAAUCAAGAAUAAAUUCUUAAACUCGAAUGAUGUAAUUAAUAAUUAGGUGCUAUUUCUAUUAAAUAUAUAGUUUUACUUAUCAAUUUGUAAAUGAGUUUAAUUGUUUGAAACAAAUUGUAUUUUAUUUUUGUUUUACAAUGGAACGAAAUUUCUUAAUUACAUAAAAAAUUUUUUAAUUGAAUUUUUAGAUUUAGAAUUUAAAGUUUAAGGUUUUAAAGGUUUAAAUAAUUUAUAGAUAUGCAAAUAUAAUUUAUUAGAUAUGAAAAUUCAAAAUUUUAAUAAAAUGAUAUAUUAAAAAACAUAUAAUAAUAUUUAAUUGUAAGUUUAAAACUCCAUAAACAACGAACAAAAUAAUAAUUUUAAGUUUAUAUUAGAGCAAUAGAGGGAAGCAUUAAAAAAAAUACCUUCCCAUUGAAUAGGUAUUUUGAGACAUCCGUGUGACGGUUCUCCAUUGAGAUACUGCUCUUUCCUGCUUCAUUUCCAACAAUUGUUCCCACACUUAUAGAAUUAGAAUGGACUGUGUUCAAAACAGAACAUCUUUCUAUAUGCAGAUAUGUUAGAAAAGAGAAUUCAAUCAGAUUUCCAAAGCCAAAUCUUUUGAGCUUGGGAAGAUCCCUAAGCUUCAAGUGGUCUAAUUUAGGAAAAACCAUUUUCCUCAUCCUUUCUUCUUCUACUAAUCCUUCCGUCACUAUUAUUAUCUCUUCAAUUUCAUUACUCUCCCAAACAUAAAGUGUUUUCAGUUGCACAAAGCUUUCAACCACAUAAGAAGUAAAUAUGUUCUUUAAAUUAUGGCAUUUGUACACUCCCAACUUUGUUAAAUUUUGAACACCAAAAGAAGUUACUGAAAGUUGCUCAUGCCAUAGUUUUUUAGCUACGAUUAAGCCUAGAUGCAACUCUUUUAAGUCUGGGAACACAACCUGCAAAUAAAAGUAAAGUUUUGACAAUCAACGAUUCCUUAUUAUUCCAAUAUUAAAAGAAUUAAUAAUGAUUUCCAACAUUGACUUGAAAUGACAUAUUGAUCAAUAUAGGUAUCCGAAAAAGAUCAAGCAGCCGUUCCAACUGCUUAUUUGGCUAAACACCCUAAUGCAUUUUGGGUAUUUGUGUCUCUCCUCCCCCUGCAUGUUAUGUCCUUUAGAUAAACGUUGUCACUAAUCUGUUUAGAUAGAGAAGUCAGCGUAUACUUCCAUUGUGAAGGUUGACUUCGGUGACUUCCAAUUUAUGCGCGUUGAACCAAACGUUGUGAGAUACGUAUCAGGUGUUGCUACAGCUUUGCUAGGUCAGGAGGUUUGUGCUUUGAUUACUUUUCUGUAUCAUAGCCUACAUUUCUUCUACCCUAUUAUCUUUCUGAAGAAUAUUAAUGUUGCCCACCUCAUUUAGGACAUGGCACUAGUGGUGCUUUUGCUGCUGCCUUUCACCCAUUUCAUUUGUUGUUUUCAGCAGCUCUUAUGGAUUUGUUUGUGGUGCUAUUCCUCUCUCCUAACCAUCUUCUCCUUUGUUUUUAUUUUUUAUCUUAUGUCAUUUUGUAUUUUUUAUUUUUUUAGAGUUCACCAGAGAGGAGUACCAGCAUUCAAAAGUUGAUCCAAUGGCUCAAUUCUCUAAGCCUAUCGUGGUAUUAUGGCUGUUCAUUUUCCCGUACAGCAUUUCAAUUGUUCAUUAGAAUUUCCUUUUGUUGUACUUCUUAUUGAUGCAUCUUUCUUUUCAGUCUCACCUGAAUAAGGAUCAUGCUGAAGACACAAAAGUCAUCAUGCAAUACUCACCAUCAAUCCCGGUAAUUAGAAAUAUUAACUUUUAACACUAUAUUUUAUAGGAAAUGGAAAAUUUUAAACAUAUUGUAUUCAAGAGACAAGUCAGCUAGCCCUUACCGGUUAAGGUGGAAAAUUGUAGAACAUGCCUUAAUAGCUAAUUCUAGACCCAGAACUAAAAUCAGAGUAAGAGAAAUUAAUAGUUUAUGCUGAAUAUUUUCAUUAGGUACUAUUCAUAGUUUUACAAAGUUGGCUAAAAUUGUUGAAUUUAUCAGUCUCUCAGUUCAAGCUGCAAUGUGUACUGAAAUCUGCCCGAAUUUUUCUUCAAUCCAAAGUGCAUUAGUUUUCUAAUAAUCUUGAAAAUCCUGAAAACUGAAUCUUUAUCUAGAAGAUCCAAUGUUAUAUAUCAGCUUUAAUCUAAGUUUACAUUUUCAGACAAAAUUGCCCCAUCUUUCUUUUGGAGACCAAUGACUGUUUCCCCCGCAUCACAAAACUGCUAAUCUUUUCAAUGAUAAAAUUAGAAAGCUUCUCGCCAGCUGUAAUUUUAACAUAUCUUGUUAUGAAUUUUUUUUUUUCUUUUUCCUAGCUAAUUUGUGUCUUUCUCCUGGUGAACUAUCCUUGCAUGCUGGAUUUGGAUAGUCUUGGAUUCAAUGUCAAAGGUUCUGAAAACUUUAACCUUUUAUAUUGAAUCUUAAUGUUAUUGGGCUAAUGGAAAGUAAUUUUGGCCAAUACUUGGAAAUUAACUAAUAUCGAAAUUCCCUUCACCGUUGCCUUGUGAAUCAAUUUUUACUGUAUGCAAAUUCUUGCUAUAUGAAAAUUUUCACUCUCUUUCCCUGCAGGCUGGUUAUCAGGAAAUCUUUCAAGCUUCGAAUUCCUACUCCUAGACGUGCAGAAGAUAGAAAGUGAGAUAUCUUUUAUCAAAGAUUUUCUAGUCUCUGAAGAAACUUUCCUGAUAUUUUUACUUUGUCAUCUGUUGUUAAUUAUUGGUUUUACUUUUUAUAUAAGGCAUCUUCUAUGAGAUUCUCAUCUUAAUUUCUUUUUCUCAAUGAAAAUGAAUUUAUACCUUCUUGGCAGAAGCCACUGAAACAAACGGGGAGGACAAGGCACAUUUCAAUAAUUUAAGUAGGAAUGACAGGAUCGUCUUUCUAUCUGGGUUCUCCUCUCUGACUGGUUAAGGCUUCAUGUAGAAGAACAGUAGCUCAGGGGAACACUUUGCAAUGUUUGACUGUGUUAUAUGCAUUUUAUUCUUGUUCAAUCUGGGUUUUUAUGUAUGUUUUAGGGACGUGAAAACCCUUGUAGACACCCAAUUUGGUCCAGACCCGAAUCAAUUGGGCUUGGCCCAAAUGGGUAAGCUCAAUUUGGUUCUUAUUUUGUAUUUUUUUUUCUUUUGUAUUUUAUGUAUUUUAUUAUUUAUUUAUUAUUACUAUAUAUUAAUAUAUGUAUAUCUUUAUUUAUUUUUUUUCUGUUAAUAUUUAUAUGUAUUUUAUUUAUAUAGUUAUAUAUUUAUUAUUAUAUUAUAAUUUAUUUAUUAUUAUUAUUAUUUUUUAUCUUGUAAUAUUUUUUGGAUUUAUCUUAUUUUAUUUUUAAUUAUCUGUUAAUUUUUUUUAUUUAUUCGUUUAUCUGAUUUUUUUCGUUUAUCUGAUUAUUAUUAUCAUUUUUUUUUUGGGUCUGUGAUUGAAGGCUGAAGAAUCCUACUGUAAAUGAGGAUUUAAUCAGAAGAGUCCAUAUUGGAUUCAAAGAUUGAAUCCCUGUCCAAAGAGGAAUUGGGAUUGAUCAGGAACUCCUGAUCAAUCCCUAUAAAAAGGACCGUCUGGAACAGAAGCAAGACACAGAAAAAACAGUAAGCAAAGCUACUGAUUUGAGAGAAAAGGGGCGUAUAGAGAGCUAAGAAAAGGUUUAGAAGUGUUAUGGGAAUUAGUAGAAAUUUUUUGAAGAUUUUUGGCGUUUUUUUUUGGGAAUUUCUGGAAAAUUCCAGAUUUCGGUUGAAUUUUCCGACGAACGUUGUGUUUUUCGAUGAAAAUUUCGGCCAACCUUGAAGUUUUCGGCUAGCUGGCCAGUUUUCGACGAAGAAUCCCAGAAAUCGAUGAACUUUCGGUGAACUUCCGGCGAAAAGCCCAGAUUUCGAUGAAAAUCUCAGAAUUCGGUGAAUCUUCAAUCGGAGUUCUUCGGUUUUUUAGAGAGAAGCAAGAGGAAAAAGGAAGAAGAGAGAGAGAAGGAAGGAGCUUUCUGUCGAAAAACAGAGGGAAGAGCCUUAUAUACCCUCUCAAAAUGAUAUCAUUUUUGCCUUAAGUGACCCGGAGGAUCCGCGCAUUUUACCGAGAUCUGACCCGACCCGAGCGUCGACCCCCUUCCUGACCCGCGCGUGUCUUCCCCCCUCCGAGUCGAGCCGAGCUCCGAAGCCGCUUCUCCGAGCCGUUUUCUCUUCCUUGAGCCAAGCCGUACACCGAGCCGCUCCAGGUUUUUUUUUUGAAUUUAUUUAUUUAUUUAUUUAUUCUGAAUUUUAUUUAUUUAUUUAUUUAUUUAUUUUUGAAUUUAUUUAUUUUUUUAUUUAUUAGAUUAGGUUUAUUUAAUAUUCUUUUUAUCUUUAUUUUAUUUUUAUUUUUUUGUUUCACUUUUCUUUUUUUUAAUUUUUUAUUUUGUUUUAUUAUUCUAUUUUCUUUAAAUAAAAAUAUAAAAAAAUAUUUUUGGGAAAAAGUUGAAAGUAUCAAUUUUUCUUAAAAAUAAAUUUUCAAAAAAAAUAUUUUUGAAGAAAAGUUGAAAGUAUCAAUUUUUCUUAAUAAUAAAAUUUAAAAAAAAAAGGUUUUUGAGGAAAAGUUGAAAGUAUCAAUUUUCCUUAAAAAUAAAUUUUUUUAAAAAAAAAUUUUGAGAAAAAGUUGAAAGUAUCAAUUUUUCUUAAAAAUAAAUUUUCAAAAAAUAUUUUUGAGGAAAAGUUGAAAGUAUCAAUUUUCCUUAAAAAUAAAUUUCCAAAAAAAAUAUUUUUGGGGAAAAGUUGAAAGUAUCAAUUUUCCUUAAGAAUAAAUUUUCAAAAAAUAUUUUUGGGGAAAAGUUGAAAGCAUCAAUUUUCCUUAAAAAUAAAAUUUCAAAAAAAGGAUUUUUGAGGAAAAGUUGAAAGUAUCAAUUUUUCUCGAAAUUAAAGUUUCAAAAGAAUAUUUUUAGGAAAAAGUUGAAAGUAUCAAUUUUUCUUACACAAGAACAAUCAUCCUUUCCUUCCUUUCUAUUUUGGUUUUUUUUUUUUAAUUUUUCUUUAAAUAAUCCGACGAUGGAGCCUCUGCAAGUGAAACAGUAGUUUUUUUUGCAUACUCUUGAGGUGAGGGAAUUUUCUCAAUUUUUUGCUAAAAGUAUUAGAGUCAAUUGAGAAUAAUUUCCAACAAUUAAUUACUUGAUAAAAUUUUAAGGCUUUUUGGAUAACACAAAUUUAAGCUGGUACCAUCUUUUGAUGGGUGUUGUGAGGGUGCUAUAACCUUCCUCACACGUAAUCGAACUCCCGCACUCUGUUCUGGUUAGUAGACCUGAACCUAUUCUUUUAGGGACCCUUAAACUUAGGUGUUCCUUGAAAGGACAGAUUCCUUAGGUGGCCAAUCGCACCUAGAUAAAAAAGGUUGGUGGUGACUCCUAAAAGUCAAUGUCAAGUGAUAGAUCCCCGGAUCUAAACAUUAUGAUAGCUUGGCGACUCCACUGGGGACUUUGAGAGUCAGGCCAGCAAAUAAUUUGUGUUAUCCAAAAGCCUAAUAAAAUUGAACCUUGUUGUAUAUAUGUGUUAUUAUUCAUUUAUGUUUAUUUAUCUUGUUAAUUAUGUCAUUCAUAUGCAUGUGCAUAACAUGAGCUCUAUACCCGAGCUUCGUCCCUCUAGGAGGGAGUAAAGUUCCUAUUGCUUUUGUGAGGUCUAAUGCCUUCGCAGUGGCUAGCGAAAUACUCCCAGUCAAAUUGAACCUUUUUCGCUUGUAGCCUGUAAUGGGUGAGGAUUAGGGUGCCUUACUAGUCUGUGAUGGACAAGGAUGUAAGGAACAAUUUGAGGACCUUUAGACUUUGACCUUAAAAUCGCAUAUAGUGAACCUUAAGAGUGCCUAAGCCUAGGAUAGAGCCCUUUCUACCCAAUUAUAGAUAUACCCUGAAAUUAAGACACAAAAGGGUGUUUAUCUAAUCAUUUUGAUUAUUUAACUUUGUGUAUCAUUUUCAUUAUCAUAUGUAACAUUAUGCAUCAGCAUCACUUUCAUUUCAUCAGUGGAACUAACUAUGUUGUUUGUCUGAUCGUAUGCAUAUGCAUUAUUUUCAUGAUCAUGUUUUAACACAAUCAUUUGCAUCCAUUUCAUACUAGAUUUCAUUCAGGAAAAUGUAUAUUUCAUUCGUGCAUCAAAGCAUCAUACAUAAAGCAUAGCAUAACAUUUCUAAUCAUAAGUAUGGUACUCAACGUUCCAGGAUAGCUCCAUCUAGCGAACACCCUGCCCAUCGAUACAACACAAGAUACAGAGCAAGGUAAAUGGAGCAAAAAAAUUCCCAUAGAUUUGAAAAGAUAGAAAAGGCACAAGAGAAGAUUGAAAGUGAACUAAGCAAGAUUCUGGAGGCUCUUAAUAACAUGAAUAAAGGAAAAGAAGUUGAAGAAAAUACAAGCCAGCAAGUUCCUCCACUAUAAGAAGUGGCUGACCCUUUGUACCCUCCAGAUUUUAGCCCACCUCAAGUCCAGUCUGCUCAAGAGGUCCCGCCACAACACUUCGCAUAUCCAACGUAUCCUGGAAUGCCAUCAAUUUUCAACCCAGGACAGUACAAUAGCUAUGUAAAUCCUGUCUUCACUGAAAAAGUAGCAGAACCAAUUCCUGAUCUAGAUGACUUAAAAGAGAAGGAGAAAAAAAAGAUGAGAGUGGAAGUUCAGGAAAGCUCUAAGAUUAGCAUGCUAGAGCAAAGGCUACGGGCUGUGGAAGGAUUUAGCUUUUAUGGGUCGAUUGAUGCUGCUGGGCUCUGCUUAGUUCCUGAUGUGGUUAUCCCCUAUAAGUUCAAAGUAUCAAAAUUUAAAAAAUAUGACGGUACAAAAUGCCCCAAAACCCACAUCACUAUGUAUUGCAGGAAGAUGGCAGCUCAUGCGCAUGAUGAAAAACUAUUGAUGCAUGUUUUUAAGGACAGUCUUACUGGCUCUGCGGCCAGAUGGUAUGUUCAGCUGGACAGAACUCGUAUUCGCUCUUGGAGCGAUAUGGCACAUGACUUUAUUGGUCAGUAUCGACAUAUCAUCGAUUUGGCCCCUGAUCGUUUGUCUUUAUAGAAUCUGGAAAAAAAAGGUAAAUGAGUCUUUUAAAGAGUAUGCCCAGAGGUGGAGGGAUGUUGCUUCUCAAGUACAACCUUCUCUGACCAAGAAAGAAACUACAGUGUUGUUUGUUAGCACUUUGAAGUCUUCCUAUUAUGAAAAGAUGAUAGGAAAUGCAACAAAAAAUUUUACUGAUAUGGUAAUCUCGAGAGAAAUCAUUGAGAGUGCCAUCAAGAAUGACAAGCUAGAAAGAAAUGAAGCAUCUAGCAAAAAAGUCCCGAAGAAAAAAAAAACUGAAGCUCAGGCUAUGAGCUUUGAUAGACAGCAACUUAGAGGUUAUUCACCCUAUCCACCACUAGAAUAUCUGCCAUAUCACCCCGCUGUAAAUAACACUUCCUUUCACCUGUAUCAACCAUUUACACAAUCAACAUACCCCCAAACAUAUCAAACCGUCAUAGACCCAAAAUACCUGUACAAUCCUAACAUUCAUCUACCCCAAGACCUAAAUCGCCGCAAACUUAAACCAUUAGUGGCUCGCGGAGUAACGAACUACUCGUGAGAAACCUAUUUUUGACGCAAUUCGAAUGACUUAAAUGAAUUAUAUAAAGAGCUUAACAACAAUCUUUUGAUGCUCCAAGUAAAUUGGAACCAUUUCAAGCACCUAUACCCUAAGUGGUAUGUCACACUGCCACACUGUUGAUACCAUUAUGGAUUGUUGAUCAUUCAAAAUGCAUCUACUCUGAAACACAAAAGUGGCAACGGUUAAUUUCAAGUGAUGGGAUGAUCUUCUUUGAUACUGGAGGGAUGACUGCACCGAAUGUUAGUGGCAAUCCUUUGUCGAAUCAUAAUGUGAAUGCUAUAGGUGAAGAACAGGAGUGCCAUGUGAAGAAAGAAGUAGUAGAUAUUAAGACACCUCUCGGUCAACUAUUCGAUGUUUUACGAAGAGCAGACAUGAUACAACUGGUAAGUCCACAUAGCUAUCAUGAAACAUAUAUAGCUGGUACUAGUUGUAAAUAUCAUAAUGGGGCAAUGGGCCAUUCCAUUGAGACCUGUGAGCAGUUUCACCAAAAGGUGCAAAAACUUUUGGAUUCACAUCAGAUGAAGGUUUAUGAAUAAAGAGAAGACUUGAAGAAUGCUGAGGUGUACAUGAUUGAUAGGCCUGUAAAGCUGUUUCCAAAACCAGUGACAAUUCAGUGUGGGAACAAACCAAAAUCAGUCAUAGAUAAACUCCUCCCCAGGUUGGUAACUUUUAAAGUCUUGACUCUUUUUCCAUAUAAAGAUGAUAAAGCUGUAUCCUGGAGAUAUGGUUGUGACACUGUAGUUCAGGGGCAGAAAGAAGAGGUCUCCAAAGUCGAUGCUUCCAAUAUAACUGGUGUAGGAGGUAUUACUCGAAGUAGGAGAUGUUACACUUCAGAAAUGCUAGAGAAGGCCAGAAGGGAAAAAGUUAAAGAAAGAGAAAGACAGAACAAUCCUGAGAUAGAACCUGAAGAAGAUCAACCGAAGCCAGUAUCAGAAAGAGAGGUUUAUGAAUUCUUGAAGCUGGUAAAACAUAGUGAGUAUUCUGUUGUGAAACAGUUGAAUAAAAUGCCAGCUCGAAUCUCAUUAUUAUCAUUGCUGCUAAACUCAGAGCCACACCGAAACGCCCUUCUAAAAGUGUUGAAUCAGGCAUACGUGGCACAUAACGUAUCUGUUGAAUAUGUGAACAACCUGGCUGGAAAUCUAGUCAUGCCAAAUCACAUUUCAUUCAGCGAUGAUGAGAUUCUUUUGAAAGAAAAAAGAAAUGCCAAGGCUUUGCAUAUCACAGUCAAGUGUAAGAGCCAUAUCAUAGCUAAGGUCCUUAUCGAUAAUGGCUCUGCCAUCAAUGUCAUACCUAUGUCAACUUUGACAAGGCUACCCAUUGAUUACUCUUACAUGAAAGACAGCUAGAUGAUUGUGAGAGCCUUUGAUAGGACUAGAAGAGAAGUUCUAAGAGAUAUUGAGAUGCCCUUACAAAUUAGGCCGUACACCUUCAAUGUAAAAUUUCAAGUGAUGGAUAUCUCUCCAUCCUAUAGCUGUCUGUUAGGAAGAUCAUGGAUUCACAUGACAGGAGCUAUGCCCUCUAUUUUGUAUCAGAAGAUCAAGUUUAAUGUGGAAGGUCAAUUAGUAGUGGUAGUUAGGGAAGAAGAUAUGUUAGUGACCUAACUAUUGAACACUUCAUAUGUAGAGGCUACUAAAGAAGCAUUAGAAUGCUCCUAUUGAUCUUUUGAAUUGGUUAAUUCUGUAGGAGAAUGAUUUUAAAAUUAGUCUUUUUCAAAGAUAGUGGUGAGCCAAGUCAUCAACAAAGGCUGGUAUCCAGGACUUAGGCUAGGCAAAAAUUUAUAGAAGAUUAAAGAACCUCCGACAAUAAUAGACAAUAGAGAUAGGGUAGGCCUAGGCUAUGAGAUGGCAGAGUGAGAAGUUAAAAGAAGGCCAUCAAGACUGAUGUUUAUCCCACACUUGUAUGAAACCUUCAGACCUGAAGGAUUCAUGUACCCAAAUACAAGAAAAAGUGUGAAAGACGCUUUUGCUCAGUUAGCCAUUAAUGCUGUUGAAGAUGAAGUGGGGCUUAAUCAAGAGGAGUGGGUUCAUUUUUGUCCACCAGAUUAUGAACUGAACAAUUAGAGUGCUAUCGAAAUGCCUCUGACUUUUGAUUUUGAUACAAUGUAAUUGUAACAUCUCAAUAGCUUUUGCCCAAGGCUAUGGGGUGAUCUUUUUUGUUUGGGCCAUUUGUCUUUUAUUAUUUUUAAUAAAAAAUAAAAAAAAUACAUUUUCAUUCAUUUCUUUUUGUGUCUUCAUUAUUUCCAUCUUUCCAAGCACAUCUUGUCAACAUAUCCCAUUUCAUUCAAUUUUCAGGUCUUUAAAUAAACAUGAAGAUAAUCAUGAUAACAAUCAAGAGGUUGGCUUUGAGAAUUCAAUUAAUACUGAUGAACUUGAUAAUGAAGAGAAUUCUGAAAAAUAUGUUAUGCCUCCGGACCUAAUGAGGAUGAUUGAACAAGAGAAUAAGCCAAUUGAGUCUCAUCAGGAGGUAGUGGACUUAGUGAAUCUGGAAGAUGAAAAAAAAUAAGAAAGAGGUUAGAAUGGGCACUUCACUUUCAUCUGAAGAUAGGCAACGAUUGGCAGACCUACUUCAAAAAUUUGUAGAUAUAUUUGCUUGGUCUUAUCAGGAUAUGCCAGGGCUGAGCACAGAGAUAGUGAAGCACAGAUUACCCCUAAAGCCAGAAUGUAAGCCAGUUCAACAGAAAUUGAGACGGAUGAAGCCUAAAAUACUGCUAAAGAUUAAAGAAGAGGUGAAAAAAUAAUUUGAUGCAGAUUUUUUACAAGUGGCUAAGUAUCCAGAAUGGGUAGCCAAUAUAGUCUCGGUUCCUGAGAAAGAUGAAAAAGUACGAAUGUGUGUGGACUAUCGAGAUUUGAAUAAGGCUAGCCCAAAGGAUAACUUUCCUUUGCCUCAUAUCGAUACACUGGUAGACAACACAGCUAAACAUUCAAUUUUCUCUUUUAUGGAUGGUUUCUCGAGGUAUAAUCAGAUAAAAAUGGCUGUAAAUAAUAUGGAAAAGACUACUUUUGUGACCAUGUGGGGAACUUUUUGUUACAAAGUCAUGCCUUUUGGGUUAAAGAAUGCUAGGGCAACAUAUCAGAGGGCCAUGGUAACACUCUUCCAUGACAUGAUGCACAAAGAGAAUGAGGUGUAUGUAGAUGAUAUGAUUGCAAAGUCUUGUGAGGAUGAAGAUCAUGUCACUAGCCUCAGAAAAUUAUUUGAGAGGCUGAAAAAAUUUCAGCUAAAAUUAAAUCCAGCCAAGUGCACAUUUGGGGUAAAGUCAGGGAAAUUGCUAGGCUUUGUGGUCAGUGAAAGAGGAAUUGAAGUCGAUCCCGAUAAGAUACAGGCCAUCCAAAAUUUGUCACCUCCUAGCUCACCAAAAGAAGUUUGAGGUUUUCUGGAGAGAUUGAACUACAUUUCUCGGUUCAUCUCUCAGCUUACUUACAAAUGUGAUCCCAUAUUUAAGCUUCUCCGUAAAGAUAAUCCUGGAAAAUGGAAUGAAGAAUGUCAAGAGGCGUUUGAUAAAAUUAAGCAAUAUUUAUCAAACCCUCUAGUAUUGGUGCCACCUAUUUCAGAAAAACCUUUAAUUCUAUACUUAAUUGUAUAUAAAAAUUCAAUGGGAUAUGUACUGGGGCAGCAAGAUGAGGCUAGCCGAAAGGAGAGAGCUAUUUACUAUCUGAGUAAAAAGUUUACGAAAUAUGAAUCCAAGUAUUCUUCAUUGGAGAAAAUAUGUUGUGCAUUAGUGUGGACUGCCAAAAGACUCAGACAGUAUAUGCUCUAUCACACUACGUGGCUCAUAGUAAAACUAGAUCCAAUUAAGUACAUCUUCGAGAAGCCUUCUUUGUCAGGGAGAAUUGCUAGAUGAAAAGUAAUACUCUCAUAAUAUGAUAUUAUAUAUGUGAGCCAAAAAGUAAUAAAAGGGGGCGCUAUAGCAGAAUUUCUUACAAAUCGUGCUACUAAAGAGUAUGAGCCAAUGAAGCUAAAAUUCCCUGAUGAAAACUUAAUGACUAUUUUUCAACUGGAGGAAAGGGAGCAUGAAGAAAAAUGUUGGAGAAUGUACUUUGAUGAAGCUGCUAAUGCCUUGGAGCAUGAAAUUGAGGUAAUUUUGAUCUCUCCAGAAGAAUAAUACUACCCUGUAACAGUAAGGUUAAAUUUCAAUUGCACAAAUAACAUCGCUGAAUAUGAGGCAUGUGUCAUGAGCUUACAAGCUGCUAUAGAUAGAGGAGUGAAGGCACUAAAAGUGUUUGGAGACUCAGCUCUAGUUAUAUAUCAGUUGAAAGGAGAAUGGGAGACGAGAGACUCAAAACUCGUUUCAUAUCAUAAGUAUAUUCUAGAGCUGACGAAAUAAUUUGAAGAUAUCCAAUUUGAUCACUUACCUCGAGAAGAGAAUUUGAUUGCCGAUGCAUUGGCUACUCUGGCUGCGAUGAUUCGAAUUAAUGAUAAUACCCACAUUCAGCCCAUCAAGUUAGAUGUUAAAGAUAUACCAACUUAUUAUUCUAAUCUAGAGGGAGAAGAAGAAGAUGGAAAGCCUUGGUAUUAUGACAUCUUACAGUAUGUCAAGGAUCAGCAGUAUCCAGUUCAAGCGAUAGAAAAUGAUAAAAGGGUCAUCCAAAGAUUAGCUAUGAGCUUUUUCCUGGAUGGGGAUAUCCUGUAUAAAAGAAGCAAGGAUCAAGUAUUAUUGAGGUGCGUAAUAAGACUGAAGCGAAGAAAAUCAUUAAAGAGGUGCAUGAUAGAAUAUGUGGGGCACAUACUAGUGAACAUAUGAUGGCAAGACAGAUUAUGAGAGCGGGAUAUUACUGGUUGACGAUAGAGAAUGAUUGCAUUGAUUAUGCUCGUAAAUGCCAUAAAUGCCAGAUAUAUGCUGAUAAGAUUCAUGCUCCGUCAUCUGCUUUACAUGUUAUGGCACCACCAUGGCCAUUUUCAAUGUGGGGCAUGGAUGUCAUUGGUCCAAUCACCCCAAAGGCUUUUAACGGGCACAGAUUCAUUUUUGUGAUGAUAGAUUACUUCACAAAAUGGGUAGAUACAGCAUCAUAUGCAAAUGUGACAUGCUCUGUAGUUUACAAGUUCAUAAAAAAAGAGAUCAUCUGUAGAUAUAGACUUUCAAAGAGAAUUAUUUUCGAUAAUGCCAAGAAUCUAAAUAGUAAGAUGAUGUAAGAAGUAUGUGCUCAAUACAAGAUCAGGCAUCAUAACUCGGUACCAUACCAUCCGAAAAUGAAUGGGACAGUUGAGGCAGCCAAUAAGAACAUAAAGAGAAUUUUAGAAAAGAUGAUCGAGACUUACAAAGAUUGGCAUGAGAAGUUGCCAUUUGCAUUGCAUGCAUAUUAAACGUCAGUUCAUACCUCUACUGGGGCAACCCUAUUUUUCUUGGUUUAUGGGAUGGAAGCUGUACUACCAGUGGAAGUAGAGAUCCCCUCUUUGAGAGUCUUAAAAGAAGUUGAGUUGGAAGAAGCUGAAUGGAUUCGAGAACGUUAUGAGCAGUUAAAUUUCAUAGAAGAAAAGAGAUUGACGGUACUGUGCCAUGGUCAGCUAUAUCAAAGAAGAAUGAUGAGGGCUCAUGAUAAGAAAAUUUGACCCCGUUGCUUUCAAAAAAGAUAGUUGGUCUUGAAAAAAAUUCUCUCAAUCUAGCAUGAUAGUUGAAGAAAAUAGACUUCGAAUUGAGAAGGACCGUAUGUGGUGAAAUAGGUUUUUUCAGGCGGAGCGCUGAUACUGACUGAGAUGGAUGGAAAUGAUCUACCCCAUCCUAUAAAUUUUGAUGUUGUGAAGAAGUACUAUGCUUGAAAAAAAUGAAAAAAAUGAAAAAAUGAAAAAUAAAAAAAAUGAAAAAUAAAAAAAUAAAAAAAUAAAAAAAUGAAAAAAAAAAGUGAAAAAGGAGGACUCAAGGCGGAAACUCAAAAAAGGUGGUUUGAGUCAUAGGGGGUUCGUCUAAGUUGAAAACCUGAAAAGGUAGCUUAGAUAAGGAGAAUACAACAUCAAAUUUAAAAGACCGUUGAUAUGAAGGCUAGCAAAUUCGGAAGAGUUCUAAGUUGUUAAAUACAUCAGAGGGUUGAAUUUUUAGAAAAAACUUUGAGAUGUGUUAUCAUGAUUAUCUGAUUGUUCAUUUUGGGCUUUGUCCCCAUACCUAUCGUUGUAAUUCUUUCUUGGCCAAAGUUUGCCAACAUUUUGUUAAUAAAAGACAGUCUAUUUCAUUCUUUGUGUCUUUUUUUGAUGACUGUUUCUCAACCAUUCAGAUUCUUUUCUUCUUAGUACCCCACCAUGGAAAAAAUGUGCAAAUGCAUCCUUACUUUUUGAGUUUGAAAUAAUGAUUGAUGAAUGAAUAACAACAUAAAAAGAUUUUUACAUUACAUUCAAUAAAUCAAGAGUGAUAAAGGCAGAAUCGAGAUGUUCAGUUCCUGAUUAGGAUAUUGAAUCUGGGAAGAGAUUUUUUUGUUACAGGAAGAAUGUGAGUGGAAGAGACAAUUAAGAGCUACACUGGUUCGAUUUUAGAAGAGCAGUGUAAUUAGAUCUCUGAAGAAUCAAAAGGAUUGAUGCCUAAGAAAAGCUUAAGAAACUAGAUUACCAUACAUUGAACAGGAAUUAAUUGGCCAACAUUUGCAUAGCAUGCAUUGAAAUUCAUAUGCAUUUGCAUAGCAUACACUACUUUCAAGAAAGUAUAGUGUAUAAAUUCAGGAAGCAGGGGUGUUUCAACAUCCCACAUAAAGAAGACAGAUAUGAAGAUAUUUUACAAAAUUGAAAAAGAAAAAGCUUGUCAGGUAAGUUCCUAAUCCUUGAAAUAGGAUGUCUUUCGGUAUCAGGGUUGAUUUGUAAGACCUUUGGGCAUAAUCUCCUGAAAUUCCUUCAAACACAACUUUCAACUCCUUUGGACAUGAUUGUCAAGGAGCAAUUUACUUUCCAAAGUCGUGGUGCCUCUGUUUAGAGGAGCAAUUUACUUUUCCAAAGUCGUGGUGAAUUUACUUUUCCAAAGUCGCGGUGCCUCUGUUUAGAGGAGUAAUUUACUUUUCCAAGUCGUGGUGCCUCUGUUUAAAGGAGCAAUUUAUGUUUCUCAAAGUCGUUGAGCCUCUGUUUAGAGGAGCUUUGGUCAAAAACAAAAACAAAAAAAACAUAAAAAAACAUAAAAAAAACAAAAAAAAAUGAAAAUGUUGAGUUGAGUCUUGAUUGGGUGUCUACGUCUUUGCGUAAUUUCUGUUUCACAGAAAAUGUGCAAAGAAGGGCAGCUGUAGACACCCAAUUUGGUCCAGGCCCGGAUCAAUUGGGCUUGGCCCAAAUGGGUAAGCCCAAUUCGAUUCUUAUUUUGUAUUAUUUUUAUUUUUUUUCUUUUGUAUUUUAUGUAUUUUAUUAUUUAUUUAUUAUUACUAUGUAUUAAUAUAUGUAUAUCUUUAUUUAUUUUUUCUGUUAAUAUUUAUAUGUAUUUUAUUUAUAUAGUUAUAUAUUUAUUAUUAUAUUAUAAUUUAUUUAUUAUUAUUAUUAUUUUUAUCUUGUAAUUUUUUUGGAUUUAUCUUAUUUUAUUUUUAAUUAUUUGUUAAUUUUAUUUAUUUAUUCGUUUAUCUGAUUAUUAUUAUCAUUUUUUUCUUUUUUUUGAGGCUGUGAUUGAAGGCUGAAGAAUCCUACUGUGAAUAGGGAUUCAAUCAGAAGAGUCCAGAUUGGAUUCAAAGAUUGAAUCCCCGUCCAAAGAGGAAUUGGGAUUGAUCAGGAACUCCUGAUCAAUCCCUAUAAAAAGGACCCUCUGGAACGAAGCAGGACAAAAAAAAACAGUAAGCAAAGCUACUGAUUUGAGAGAAAAGCGGCGUAUAGAGAACUAAGAAAAGGUUUAGAAGUGUUCUGAAAAUUAACAGAAAUUUUUAAAAGAUUUUUGGCUUUUUUUUUUGGGAAUUUCUGAAAAAUUCCAGAUUUCGGUUGAAUUUUUCAACGAAAGUUGCAUUUUUCGAUGAAAAUUUCGGCCAACCUUGAAGUUUUCGGCUAGCUGCCCAGUUUCCGACGAAGAAUCCCAAAAAUCGGUAGACUUCUAACGAAAAACCCAGAUUCUGACGAAAAUCCCAGAAUCCAGUGUAUCUUCAAUCGGAGUUCUUCGACUUUUUAGAGAGAAGCUAGAGGAAAAAGGAAGAAGAGAGAGAGAAGGGAGGAGCUUUCUACUAAAAAACAGAGGGAAGAACCUUAUAUACCCUCCUAAAACGACGUCGUUUUUGCCUUAAGUGACUCGGAGGAUCCGCACGUUUUGCCGAGAUCCGACCCGACCCGAGCGUCGACCCGCUUCCUGACCCGCUCGUGUCUUCCCCCCUCCGAGCUGAGCCGAGCUCCGAAGCCGCUUCUUCGAGCCGUUUUCUCUUCCUUGAGCCGAGCCGCUCCAGGUUUUUUUUUUUGAAUUUAUUUAUUUAUUUUUGAAUUUUUUUUAUUUUUUUAUUUAUUAGAUUAGGUUUAUUUAAUAUUCUUUUUAUCUUUAUUUUAUUUUUAUUUUUUUGUUUUACUCUUUUUUUAUUUUCAUUUUUAUUUUGUUUUAUUAUUCUAUUUUCUUUAAAUAAAAAUAAAAAAAAUAUUUUUGGGGAAAAGUUGAAAGUAUCAAUUUUCCUUAAAAAUAAAUUUCCAAAAAAAAUAUUUUUGAGAAAAAGUUGAAAGUAUCAAUUUUCCUUAACAAUAAAAUUUCAAAAAAAAGGGUUUUUGAGGAAAAGUUGAAAGUAUCAAUUUUCCUUAAAAAUAAAUUUUCAAAAAAAAUGUUUUUGAGGAAAAGUUGAAAAUAUCAAUUUUUUAAAUCAAUUUUCCUUAAAAAUAAAUUUUCAAAAAAAAUGUUUUUGAGGAAAAGUUGAAAAUAUCAAUUUUCCUUAAAAAUAAAUUUUCAAAAAAAUAUUUUUGAGGAAAAGUUGAAAGUAUCAAUUUUCCUUAACAAUAAAAUUUUAAAAAAAAGGUUUUUGAGGACAAGUUGAAAGUAUCGAUUUUCUUUAAAAAUAAAUUUUCAAAAAAAAAAUGUUUUUGAGGAAAAGUUGAAAGUAUCAAUUUUUCUUAAAAAUAAAUUUCCAAAAAAUAUUUUUGAGGAAAAGUUGAAAGUAUCAAUUUUCGAAAGUAUCAAUUUUCCUUAAAAAUAAAUUUCCAAAAAAAAUAUUUUUGGGGAAAAGUUGAAAGUAUCAAUUUUUCUUAAGAAUAAAUUUCUAAAAAAUAUUUUUAGAAAAAAGUUGAAAGUAUCAAUUUUUCUUAAAAAUAAAAUUUCAAAAAAAGGAUUUUUGAGAAAAAGUUGAAAGUAUCAAUUUUUCUCGAAAUUAAAGUUUCAAAAGAAUAUUUUUAGGGAAAAGUUGAAAGUAUCAAUUUUUCCUACACAAGAACAAUCAUCCUUUCCUUCCUUUCUAUUUUGGUUUUUUUUUUCUUUAAAUAAUCCGACGAUGGAACCUCUGUAAGUGAAACAGUAGUUUUUCUUGCAUACUCUUGAGAUGAGGGAAUUUUCUCAAUUUUCUGCUAAAAGUAUUAGAGUCAAUUGAGAAUAAUUUUCAACAAUUAAUUACUUGGUAAAAUUUUAAGGCUUUUUGGAUAACACAAAUUUAAGCUGGUACCAUCUUUUGAUGGGCGUUGUGAAGGCGCUAUAACCUUCCUCAUACGUAACCGAACUCCCGAACUCUAUUCUGGUUAGUAGACCUGAACCUAUUUUUUUAGGGACCCUUAAACUUAGGUGUUCCCUGAAAGGACAGUUCCUUAGGUGACUAAUUGCGCCUAGAUAAAAAAGAUUGGUGGCAACUCUUAAAAGUCAAUGUCUAGCGAUAGAUUCCCGGAUCUAAACGUUAUGACAACCUCAUAGUUGAUAUGCUCCAAGCUGCCCUGUCUCAAGUCAACUGACCACACUGCUAAAAGAGUUCUAAGAGGUGAGAAAGUUUCCAAUUUCUUAAAUCUCUGUUUCAACUACAGUUUUGCGUUCGCUAAGCAAUAAAUGAAGACAUUUGUUUGUAUAAAAUGAACUGCAUGUCUUUAUGAUUGCCGUCGCUCAGCUUCAGCAUUAUAAAGGAAACUUAGUCUGAAUAGAAAACUAUUAAAAUGGUCUUAUGAAUUAUGUGAACAACAAUUGUAUACUGGCUGUCGUAUCCGAAAUUGGAGAGCCCUCUCUUGCUUAUUGACUUGAUUUGCAGGAUCUCGUGUUACAUUUACAUCUAACUUCUCCAGAAUAUGUACCAACAUAGAAUUCCAUAAGACGCGGCAAUAAAGAUACAAUUACCUCAGAUACAAUUCCAGAUAAACUUUCAAUUCAAGUUGUUUCCAUUAGAGUUGAAAUUAUGAGAUGUGAAACUGGUUGGUGGUUCCUGUAUAUACUUUGCCUUGAUAUAAUAGUUUCUUCUUUCCUGCACUGCUCUUAUUAUGUAGAGUUGGAUAAUAAUUGAAUUAUUGGAUCCGAAACAUAACUUGAAAACAUGAGAUACUUCAAUUUUUUCCUUUUAAAUUCCUUCUAUGUUCAAAGCAGUGGAAAAGAGGGAGAACUUUCUCCUUUCAGGUGAUACUUUUACCAUCCUGUUUCAAGUCCUUCGUAUAACUUUACAUAUUCAUAUUGCUUUGCUUUUGUAUCGACAAUUAGGAAUUGUCAUUAUAUGGUUCUUAAUUUUGAUUGUUAGAAAUGCAUGACUAAGAAGUUAUAGCUAAUCAAAAUUGGUUUGAUUCCAUAUGGACUCUAAUACGUGAAUCUACCGUGGGCGUUUGGGGACAUGCUAUGUUUUUGAGUCUGAGGUGGAGCCGAUUUGAUAAAUCAAGUUCCAUGGCAAGAACAACCACAAAGUUUCUUGCACGAAUGAUUCUAGUUUCCAUACCCAUAUUUACCUCAAUUAUGAUGUUAAAACAUUAAAUUUACAUAUUUGAUUAAGAGGAAUUUACUGUACUUUAAAAAAUCAAAAUUUGUUUAUUCCACCUGUUCUUUUCGUGCUUGAAGUUUACUCAAUGUGCUUGACUGGCUUUAGACUCUUCCAAACUGCUCUCUCUCUCUCUCUCACACACACACACACACACACACGCAGACAUUCCUGUCCUGGUUUAGAAUCUUAUCUGCUUGCCUGCUAUUUGACCGGAAACACAAUUAGCUUUUAACACUCUGUGGUUCAGUAGAGUAUGGAACAAGAAAAUGACAAAAAUGAAGCUGGCAAUGCUGUAGAAGACUCAGCAAAAUCACAAUCAUCUGAAAAGAACAGCCCAAAUUUAUUGAAGGCCAAAUCUGAUAUUGCAAAGUCAAUAGCCAAGAAUUUCUUGGAGGCAAGAAAAGCCACUGGUACCUCUGAGGUUCGGAGGAGAAACCAAAAGAGUAAAAACAAAAGUGUAUCAGAAGGCAAUACAGCUACUGAAAAUGAUGCUAAGAAGCUAAAUUCAAGGGAAAAAAAACCAACAAAAAGAUGCUACCACCAGUACGGAGCAUGUAGAGAAGAGCCAGAAGAUCCAAAAGAACGAAGAAAAUACACGUGCGUCAGGUAGCAAGGAAAAUAGUAAGUCAAAUGACAGUCCCAAGAAACGAAGAAGCCGAAAGGAGCCUGUUCUUUCAAAUAAAAACCAGAAGAAUGAAGAAAAGUGGAAAGAUAAGAAAAAGAGAAAACAAAAUGAGCAGAAGGAAAAGCACAGUAAUUCAGAGAAGAAUAACAAGAAUAAAGAAACAAAAAGAAAUAAAAGAUUGAUGGUCUAAUAUUUAUGUGCAAUGCAAAGACCAAGCCUGACUGUUUUCGAUACCGUGUAAAGGGGGUAUCAACAGUUAAAGAAGAUCUCAUGCAUGUGAAGAGUUGGCAUCUACUUGGAGGGAAGAGAUUCAUCGUGAUUUAUACCUUAAUGAGAAGGAAUACAUGGCUUAUGGUCUUCAGGGAGAGAGAAGAAACUUGACUUUUCAGCAUAAUAUUGCUCCUAGAUUAGGUCCUACCAGAGAGAUUAUAGAGAGCAACCUCUAGGCCAACGAGACACAGUAUACAGGGAAUCUGUGCUUAUGCAGGGAGGUAUAAUUCACUCUGACCCUCUUUGCUUAACUGAAAGAGAGUAUCGGACUUACAAUUUGCGUGCUAAACGAGAAAUGCAAUCAACAGUCCAGCAACUGCAAAUGCGUCUGUAGCUGCUGCUUCUACUUUGGAUUCCUAUGCUAGGGAUCAAUAUUAUAGUAGUUAUUAUUGUGUUUCAUUGGUGGACUCGUACUUGCCACUUCCAAGAGGAGAGGCACACCUGAUUGAGACUGACCAUAUGAAGAAAGAAAGCAACCAAGUUGAUAGAUUGCAUCCCAGAUAUGCUUCUGGUGCUAUAGGCGAUUACAACCAGAUGCAUUAACAUCAGGCUGCUUCUACAUCAGUAUCAGCCCGGAAUUCUUUUGCUGGUGCAUCUUUGUCUUAUCGUUGAUUAUCUGUCCCUUCAUAUCCCUAACUUGAGACAUGUUAUUUUUUUUCAAUUAAUGACUUUUUGUUUGUUAUUUGUAUGCAAGUUGUUGAACUUCAAUAGUCAUUUUGUUAAAUAGUUUAUCAUAAAUAAGUAGCAUAAAGCAUUUUGCAAAUCAAUGUUUUCGAGGCUAGCUGGAUAUGGCUGCAGGAGAGCUUGGUUGAAUAUGAGGUAUCGCCCUUUGCCAACGCAUCUGUUCAGCUCUUUUCUAAUACAUUAUUUUAGCCACUUUGUGUUUUGAAAUGCUGGCAAGAUUGACAAUAAGUUUUGCAACUGCUUUAGUAGCGUAUAUGUUUGUUGUUAUUGGGUUUGAGUUACUAUUUUUCUCUUAAAUGGUUCACCAAUAGUAGCAUAUAUUUAGCUCUUUCUAAUACAUUAUUUUAGCCACAUUUAUGGUCUUUUGUUGGGCUACUAGUUUUCAAGGCUUGUCAGAUGGAUGAGGUAGUAUUAUCUGUACUGAGAUUCAAGCCUAAGAUCUAUCCACUGCGUAAACUGAAACGAAACAAAUGAACAGUUUCUUUCCUUCAAAAUCCUUUAAUAAACACAAACCGAAUAAACAAGUAAAUUUUCUUCUUCAUUUGAAUAUGUUAAAACUCCCUAUUAGUAAAUUCCAGGUUCUUGCGACAUCAAAUUGGUACUAAAACUAGUUUUUAUCGAUGAUAAAAAUUUGAGCACCAAUUUCAGGCUGCAAAUAGAAUAAAUUAACUUCAUUAACUUAAAUUCCCAUAGUUGCUUAUCAGUGUUUAAAACGAAAAUAAAACACCUCUUGUAAGAUUUGAAGCCCAAGACUCUUUCAAAAAAAUAACUGAAAAAUCCAACUUUAAAACUGAUGUCUGUUGUAAAUAAAAACCAUUGUACUUGAACAAUUAUCUUCUGUUCCUUAUAGUUGGAAACUCUUGGUCUAUAGUGUUUUCAAAGGACCAAGAUCCUUGCUGCAGGUUGUUCUGUUUAUGUCAAUGCUAACAGAAAAUGUCCAAAAUGAAAAUGAGAAAAAACUGCUCCAUUUCUACGAGUUCUCAACCAUUGGGCCUUCCUGCAAGUGUUUGACUUGUAUAUGUUUUCAAUUAACGAAAAUGAAACUAGUAAGCUUCUGCUAAGUUUGAAAGAACAGCUUCUUCACUUGACGUGAGACAAAUACUUUGUAAACAUUCAAUGCCGAUUGGAUUCUUUCCAUUCUUCCAUUCAAUCAGUAGGAUUAGGUGGCCUUACCUCACCAUAUCAGAAAUCUGGGAGGAGCAUUCGUUCUGCCCCAAUUUCCCCGUACCAUCCACCUCCUUGACAGUUGAAUGCUUUAUUCACAAUUCACAUUGAUAAAAAGGUCAAUCACAGAUCAAGGCGGGGGGGGGGGGGGAGAGGAAUCAGAGAUAAUUAACAUAUAAGCACUUAAAUUGCCCAAGGCCAAAGAAAAUACUAACCUUGUGCACCAUGAUGCAUCAAAUCAUGCUUCCGAACUCUGCACUAAUAAAACAUAAUAGGGCUACAAAAAAUUCCAAAGGACGUACGGAACUCAGCACGACGGUCAAGUAGAAUGGAACUGUUACAGUCAGGAUGGAUAAACUGCCAUUCACAAGCUGUUGUAGGCACGGCACACCUUGGGGCAUCCAAUGGACUCAAGAAUUUGCCAAUUGGUUCAAUGCAGCAGAAAAUCACCUGUAAACAAACACAAACCAUCAGCCAGCCCAAAAAAAACCAUCAAUUUAAAACCGGCAAAAUAAAUCUGAAUUGAGUUUUGUUUCAAGUUUCAACAUGAAAUAGUUUGCAACCUUCUCAAAAAGGGAGAGUGGCAAAUCCUUGAAAUUCACCAUUGAAAAAGUCUCCUUAUCGUCUAGUUCAAAAUAAGUAUGUGAUCCCCAACUCCAGAACCCUUGUCAUUUUGCCACUUCAGAAUAUUUCUCAUCCUCUGACUUCAGAAUUGUUGUCAUCCUUAACUUCACAAUACCCAGAUCAUUAAAAAUAGAAAAGUCCUACAUAAGUUAUCACUUCUGAGGUUGAUCAAAUAAUACAUGGCAAGCUAAAAUUAGUUAUCAUAGAAACAAAAAGCCUAAAAGACACAAGCUGUGACCAUUUACAGGUUGAUCAAAUGCAACACGAUUAAACUUGUCUUUAGAGAUAGAAUAGUAUGGCAGCACUACCGUUUAGUAAUAUGACAAUUCACAAUCAAAACAAAUUAACAUAUGCAACGUUCAGGAAGAACAAAAAAACCUUCUGCCACCCAUUACUCAAGGAAAGAAAAACCUUUUGCAUUAGAUGAGUACAACAAAAGCUAUAUGGUCUCAAGAUGCAUAGAAAGAAUUUUUGGCUUACUCUGUUUCUUUGCGGUUGAAGGAUUGAGCUGAUCUUCAGAAUUCUCGACUAUGUUGACUGGAUUAUGAAAUCGUAAUGAACACUAUUAGUGAAGGUGAAAAGGAAAAUUACUGAAAAAUUACUUUUAUUAUUCUUUGAUGAAUUAGUCUCAUAAAAUGAAAACAAAGCCAUCUGAUUUCAAAUGAAGAAACAAGAGUCAUGAUGUCUCAAAAACACAUAUUCAACAAUUUCCUACUCUGCCAUACAUGGUACUUGAAGAUCAUCACUGUAAUCCCUCUCCUUAUUUAUUUUAUUAUAAAUUUAAACAUUCUCCAACCACAAAAAACAGUAUUACUGAAAAACAAAACUUGUUUAAAAAAAGAAAAAUCAAAUUAUACAAUACAAUUGUCAUAGAAAAAAAAUAGAAAAUGUGACAUUAUCCAAUGAUCUAUUUCAGUUGCUCUAGAAAAUCCUAAAAGAGUAAAUUAAAUAGAAACUCUGAUGUCAAUAAAAUGGGAAAAUUGUUCAAAAAUUACAUAAUAUUAUAUUGAUAAGAGAAAUAUGAACUAGGUGGGAGACAUCAAACACCUACAUAAUUGAUGAACAAAUGGUAAAGCAUUUGAGUUGAAAGAAACAAAAGCUAUAUUAUUUAUGAAUUGUAUCUGAAGAUUCAUUGAAUGAAAUUUGGCAUACUUGUGUGUUCGAAGUUGCAGGAUUGCCUCGAUCUUCUAUAGAAUUCUGCAUUUCCUCCAUGGAUUUCUACAUAUGCAUAAUCACCAACGACAAUUAAUAUUAAUUGGUUAUGAUGGCGAAAAGAUGAAUUAAUUUUGAUAUCCAAUGGAGUCACCAUCAACGCCCCCAACCAAAAAAUUUCUUUGUUAAUAAUGAACAAUUCUCUAAAUUCUAAAUGAUAAUGGCAUCCUCCUUCACAUAAAAUUUUCUCUUCACUGUGCGCUAAUACAUAUGUUAGUCAUGACUGUUAACUUUACCUGCCAAAAAUCAUUGUUGGUUUUGAGUGGAGAAAGGAAUGUGUUUUAGAGGGCCUUCUUAGUUCUUGCAAAGCAGUCUUCCAUUCAAACAAACUCUUCUUAUUUUUCAUAGCUUCCCCCACUGUUACAAUGGCAAUCGGCAAUCCAGCACAUUAUUUGGCCACUUCAAUUGCCGUAAUAUGCAAGUCAGUGACUUAGAACAAUAUCACCAGCCUUCUUCUUAUACAGGUUCCAUGCUUCUUCUUCUUCUUCCAAUAUUUCAAUUCGAAUGUUUUUCAGCGAAAGCAUCAAAGGUAAAAUAUUGAGCUCUCUAGACAUCAGUAAGAUCUUGCAUCCUUGGUGUUCACCUCCGUAAGGAAUUCCUAGAGCCUCCAAUCCAAUUUCUCCCAAAUAUCAUCCAAAAUGACAAGAACCUUCUUGAAAUUCUUUAGUCUGUUCUGUAGUUCGCCUGCUCUUCCGGGGUCACUCUGCUUUGUAAACUCCACACUCAAUUGAUCUACAAUCAGAUCUUGAAUUUUCCUGAUGUCAAAACUCCGGGUUACGACUGCCAUGACCACCUCAUCAAACAAAUUUUCAUCCUUGGCUUGUCUAGCAACUUGUUUGACUAGGGUAGUUACCCACACCGCACGUCCCGUAAACACCAAUUAUGCUCAAAUUAGCAUCUUUAAGCGCCUCCAUGACCGCAUCCAAAGCACCCGUUCUUGACUCAAAGGCCUCGUACUCUUUGGCAGGUCUAAUAGCUAUCCCUUCUGGAGCAGGUCGGUGGGAUACUCCAUCAAAUCGGUCGUUAUCUUUCAAGAGUUCAGCAAUGGUGUUGAACUCUUUCUCAGCUUUUCUACAGAGUUGAUAACAAUACUUAAAAUUAGGACACAACCCAACGAAACACCCCUGCUUUACUUUCUCUUCAUCCUCAUCCAAUUGCGCAGCAGCCUCGUUACAGAUAUUCCCAUUGACCUUAGUCAACCACUCAUCCACGUCACACAUCUUCCCAUUGACCUUAGACAACCACUCAUCCACGUAGCUAAAAUAUCUCCUCUCCCUGUCUCUUAGCCGCAUUACCAUCCUCUUGCACUCUUUCUCUCGCAUCCUUCAGUUUUUGAAGUUGAUCCCUGAGGUUUUGUAACUUGCCCUUAUGCUUGUACAAGUAACUAAGUUGCCCUUAUGCCCUUAUGAAAUUUACACAACUUUGUUCUUCUCUUAGAUAUCAAAAGAUUGGUCGGCCAGAGCUUCUUCCUCUCCGCACUUUGAGUACGAUGCCAAAAGAGAAGAGAACCUACGGGAAAAUAUUUAACAAUUCUAUUUCCUUUUCUUGGUGAAUAAAGCUUGAGGAUUCAGCAGUCGGAAGAGUUUAAGGGAUGGUAAUUGAGAGAACAGAAAUUCAAAGAAUUGCGUGGUUUCUGCGAAAGAGUAUGAAAAGCCGAGUCUAUUAAAGCAAAGGGUUAUGAUGACAAACUGAAGGACCAACUAAGGCUUCAUUUCAGAAAGAUGUUCGGUAAACUUGCCAAUAGCACGAUGGAGCAUUUUAAUCGCACCAUUUCCCGUAAUCAGAACUGGAGCAUAACAUGCGCAGUGGCUCACCGUGAUGCUCAUGAACAAUAUUAUCUUUAUUGUUUACUUUUUACUUUUUAUUUUGUCUUUACAUUUAUACUUUCAUAAUUAAAAUAUCCUUAUUACAUCUAUAAUUUAAAUUUUGUUUUUGGUUUUUUUACUUUGAUUUUUUAUAUAUGAAAACAAUUUUAAUAAAUUAUUAAUUUUACAAAUAUUAAAUAUAUAAUAUAACUUCAAUUAUACUCAAAUUCUAAUUUGAUAUAUUUAAUAUUUUUUAUUACAUUCAUCAUUAUUUUUAUAUUUAAAUAUAUAUUUUAUAAUUAAUUUUAUUAUUAUUUUUAAUUUCAUUAAAAUUAAUCUUAUGAUUCAUCCGAAUAAACCGAAUCAUAAGAAUAAAAGAAUUGCGUCUUUUCUGCAGAAGAGCAUCAAGAGACGAUAUUAAAGGAAAGGAUUAUGAUUCAUAAUGGCAAACUGAAAGACCAACUCAAUGGGUCAUGAAAAUCAAAGAAUUGCGUGUUUUCAGCAAAAGAGCAUGAAAAGCCAAAACGUAAAGAAAUGAGAACAUGACGACAAACUAAAGGACAACUAAAGCACAGCCAUCUGGCUUCAUUGUGUUUGUGGGCUGUGGCAAAUGGUUUCUGUCGGUCAAGUAUUAUUUUUGAGUAAAUUACAUUAAAUUCCUUGGUGUUAGGCACUACUUUAAUAUCACUCCAUCAGUACGAUAAGCAACUUUCAACAGGACUUAAAAAUCUUGAUUUUAAAUUAAAAUAUUUUUAUGAGCUAUGUUCAUUUUAUAAAUAAAAAAAUAUAUAUCAUCAUUCCAAGUUUUAACAAUCACAUGAUAAAUAUAUUUUCAAAAUUCACAUCAAAUUUUUAUUAAAAUUGGAGUUAGGUGUUUCAUUCACAUUCAUAUUGGAGUUAAGAACUUCUAUUUACAUUCAAAAUUUCUUGAUGCAAUUAAUUUUUUAUUACAAAAAUAUAUAAUAGUUGUUAACUUUCAGCAAAUUAUUUUUUACUUUUUCCUUGCACCGUUAAUCUUAUAGAUUUAUAAAUUCAUAAAUUCAUAAAUUUGUAAAAAAUUAUGAAUUUUAAUAUUUGUAAAUUUUUUAAAUUUAUGAAAAAAUAUUUUUAUUAUUCACAAUUUCACAUAAAAUUUUUUUAAAAAAAUCAGAUUUUAAAAAACAUUUAUGAUUAUUUUUGUCUAAUUCUAUUGUUAUUGUUAAUUUGUAUGUGCAUGUAAUUAAAUAAAAACAUGCUGAACUUAUGAUUUUCCUUACGAAUUUGAAAUUCGAGAUCUUUGUAGAUAAUAUCGACACCCAAUAAAGUUGUAACAUAAUUCCUAUUCCCAACAUGUCAUACUCCUUAAGAAUGAAAACAAGUAAGAGACGGGCUGGGCUAUGAUUAUUUCUUGAGCCAAAACCAAUAUUGGAAUUUAGCUAUUUUUGAGAAUUAAAGGUAGAUUCUAGCCUGAUGUUUCCCAAACAGUUACAACUCUCUAGCAAUAAUGCUUGAUAUACAGCAGGAGUUUCCCAAAUAAUAUCUCGACUGCUCCCCCUACUAUAAAAUUUCGCAUAAAAACUUGACAUGCUACACGCAGUUGCGUUGGUUGGCGCAUGUAUUCGAAUGGUAAUAAAAGGGAUUGGGAUAUCAAUAUGGUUAAUAUAUUAGUUUUGUUUUUCAAAUCUCCCGCUCUCAUUUCUAUAGUAGCUAGUUAUUGGAAGCUAAAGCAUAAGUGGCUUCGGAAAUGAACUCUGCAAAAUUCUUUGAUUUUGAUAAGUACUCUAUGCUCUUGUCUAUAAUAAGUUGAGGUAAUAGUUAUUAGCAAGUUGAGGUGGUGCAUUUCUUUCAGUAACAGUAUUUUUGCCUCCUUAAUGGCAUUUUGAUCAGAACUGCAAAAUUUGGUUGCAUUUGGCAGUCCUUAUCGAGAACCUCAUAAAAAUAAUCUGCGGCUUGAGGCUAUUGCAUAUAUUUGUGCAUUGGAUCUUGCCGACAAGUUCCCUCCUGCACACCUUCUGAAUGCCUACAUGAAAUAUUCCAAGAUGAGCAAAUACAAGAAUUUCAAAAAAUCAUAUGUGAAACUGGUAACCUUUGCACCUUUUCUGUCUCUGUUUGCUCAGAGUUUAAGCUGAGAUCCAGCUGCUAUCCUAUUUUAUAUCUUUAAGACUUUAACUCCACAUGCUGGCAAAAUCAGACCAUAGACCAAGAAAUUGCUAUUAUGAGAAGGGUCCUUAGAUGCAUUGCUGAUCAGAGGCUUGAAUCUCUAUAUCCACCUGAGGAUCUUGAAAACUACAUUGUUCAUCUGGAAAGGCAGAAAGAACAGGGAAAUGAUACAGCACAAAGAGAAAAGAAGAAAGCAGAGAGGAAAGAAAUUUUGUCAGUCCCUUCAGCCGAGGCCAAACAACAGCAUGAGAGUGGAAUAAGUGGCCCUCCAUGAAUAUGUCAGCAGAGGCCACACCAAGCCUUUCUGGUAGUGCUGGUUGCAAUCUUCACUUAAAACCAUCUCAUCUUGAGCAACCAGUUGGCUCGAUUGCUGAUCAACCUGUUGCUUGUAGUUUGUGGGACUCCACUGCUUUCUCUGUAGGCACAAACUCAUUUAAUUGGCAAGAUGGGUGUUCAAUUGCCAAUAACAGGAGCUUGGAACAGUUCACUUCAGCUGGAGCAGUUGACAAGGCCGCCCCAGCUAAAAUCUCCUUUUUUUUUUUUUUCGUUUCUUGUUAUUACUUUUUUAGUUCUUUUUACCGACCAAGGUCAUAAUUCAAUGUUUAGUCCUCCCUUCCUCAGCAACUUUUUGUUAUUGUUGAAUGUAUUUGUUUGUAAUUACAACAAUUUGCAGCAUGAAUGGUACCGUGCGUGCUUAGAGUUUGGCAAGUAUAUCUUUAUUGGUUUUCUAUUCUUUUGACAAUAAAAAUUCACUUGUUAAAUUUAUUUUCAUAAGUUGAUUCUCUAACCGUACAGAAAGUAGUAUUCAUCAUGCUCAAGUAAAGAUUGACCGAUGUCAAUUUGAAAAUUUUCAAUUGGAUGGCGUUGUUCCUUGAGAGGCAAGGAUUGACCGACAAUCUUAUAGCACCGGUAUGGAUGCGAAGGGUUUAAUACUUUUUCUAUGUGAGCAUGUGGAGGAUCACGAUUUAAUGCGCAGUGAAAUUUCUGACGCUCUUCAAUUGUCUCCCGAUCCUGCAAAACUUGUUUUGGAUGCAUUAUCGACCUUUUAUCAUUCAAAGUCAGGGCAUGCUCCUAAAAAGAAAAAGAACUCAGGGGAUGAAUUUAUUAGGGAAGCCUCAGGAGAAGUAAGAAAGAGUUGCAUUCUAUUGAUGGAGCAGUUAAGGACAUUUCCGCUCCAGAUUGAACCCCAUGUAAAUGAAGAGGUUUUGAAGCUGGCAGAUGAUUAGAAAGAAAGAACGCAAAAGUACCAGAAUGGUGUGAUGGCAUAUGGUUUCUUGCAGCUGAUAGUCACCUACUUUUUGAUUUCUGCUUAUGAUGCGGAUGAGCUUCUUGGUGUUUUGGUAAUUGCAAGUGAGCAUAGACAGUCUCCUGAUUUGUGCCUGGCUGUUGGUUUGACAGAUAAGAUCUGCGGUUAGUCUACUUUCUAUCUGUCUCCCUAGUUUAUCGUUUCUCUUUUUGUUGGUUCGUUUAGCUGUUAGGUGAGGUUAUCCUUGUCUUCUCUGCAUAGCUAUAUUAAUGCUACUAUAGUUACAUCUUCUCUAGCUGUUAGCGACCAGGUAUAAUGUAAUGCAGGAAUUCCCCAAAAUAAUAUUCGAGUGAUUUCUUGAGGUACAACUUUUGCAUAUGGAACCCUAGAUGGUACAACAGUGUUUUGUUGCAUCAUGUACUCGAAUGGUACAUGAAAGGAAUCAAAGGGGGUCCUUAUGGGUAAAUUAUUUUCUUUUUUUUUUCCGCAACAGUUCUUACUUGUAGUAAGUUUCUGAAUUCUGCUAACUACUUAUCUUGUUGUUUCUUUGCCAAUCAUCUCGUUCUUUAAAUUUCUCAGCAAAAAUAUGACAUUUAUGGAUUAUAAUGGUAACAUAUUAAGUUCAGGUGGUGUUUUCACAUGAGUUUUUUUUUUUUUUGGCCUGACGGUAUUCUGAUGACACCUGCAAAAUCUGCUUUCAAUUUGACAGUCUUGAUUGGAACCCUUGUAAAAAACAAUCUACGGCUUGAGGCUAUUGCAUGCAUAUGUGCGUUUGAUCUUGUUGACAAGUUCCCCCUGCACACAUGCUGAAAAUUCACUUGGAAUAUUCCAAAGAGAGUUCGUAUCACAAGGCCAAAAAAUCGCAUUGGAAAUGGGUAACUUUUCCAUAGACCUUUUAUCAUUAUGCAUGCUCAAAAAUUUGCUGAAAAUUGAACUGUAAUCCUGAUUCUGUGUGUUAACUUGAAUGUGCUCGCAACACAAAUUAUAGAUCAUGAAAUAGCUAUCGUGAGGAAAGUCAGCGGAUGCGUUGCUGAUCACAAGCUUGAAUCACCAUACCCACCAAACGAUCCCAGAGACUACAUUUUACAACUGGAAAGGCAGAAGGCAGAUCGAAACAAUGCUGCUAGGAAGCAAAAGCAGGAAACAUGCCAGAAAAAAACCGGAAAAGUCCCUUCUGCCAAUUCAAAACCACGGCACGAGUGUGAACUAAGUUAACCUCCAUAAAUGUUUCAGUAGAAGCCGUCUCAAGCACUUCUUCUAGUGCUGGUUCCACAGUUAAACUGUCACCUUUGCAACUACUGGAAAGCUUCUUUGCAGAUCAAGCUGUGCCACACGUUUUAUGGGACUCCACCAAUUUCUCUGCUAACACAAACCUAUUAAGUGGUAAAAGGCAGGCAGAUAUGGCUACCAUUGCUGAUAACAGGAGCUCAGACUCUGAUUGAAAUGAGCAACUUAACGAAAUUUAGCCCUGUGAGUUUGCUAUUUGCCUUCUGUAGAAGCUUUUGCUUUGGUAUUUGAUUUCUAAGAGAGAUCAUGGAACCUGGACGAUAAUUUUUUACUGCUUGUAAAAUGAGCUGUUAGCUCAGUGGCACUAGAGUCGGUUCCAGGACUGAGGGUUUCAAGUGGAACAUCAAAAGUAACUGCUUGUAAUAAUUAUAAUAUAAUCUAAGAAAGUAAUUUGCAUUUUGAAAGUUGAAACAGUUUAUUUGUAAUUUGAAAAUUUCCCUCAUUGUUGCUAACCAAAGACAUGGGCAGAUGCCAAGAUCAAGAAAAACUUGGCGCUAGCCCAGUCUUACAUCAAACGCAGCCCACUUGAAUAUGUCUACUCUUUAGCCUGUCUCCAGUCCUGGCUCCUGGUCCUGGUACUGGUUUACGUCCCCAGUCCUGCAUUAUAAUAAAAUUUACUGUUUGACUUAAAUAGUAUUAUUUUUCACUAAAUCUAACUUUUUAGAUUUGUGAUUGGCAAAAAAUGAAAAAAAAUUUGUUUAGAUUUGUAGAUUUUUUUUCCUUAAAUGGAUAAAAACAUGAGGUGGAGUCAAUGUUGAUUUCGUGUGGGAGGCAAAGACCAAAAAGGAAAAAUACAAAUAAAGUUAUUUGUCAUUUUUUUCACCUACCACAUGGCACAUGCCACACCAACCAAAGCAAAAACGAAAUAAAAAAACAAAAAGCUAAAGAGAAACGUCAAUAUUAAAUUCAAAUUUUAAUUUAAUUAAUUCAGAUAAUCAAUAUUUUUAAAAUGCUACAGAAUCAUUCUGUCUUUGGCCUUGCUUUUUCAUAAAUAUAUAUAUAUAUAUAUAUAUAUAUAUACAUUGUCUGUCUUUGGCCUUGUUUUUUCACGUGCAUAUAUAUAUAUAUAUAUUAAAAAAUCCAUUAUAUGUUAUCAUCAUUUAUUUGAUUGUAACAAUUAUUGGCUUGUCUUUUCUACGUUACGUCAAAAUAGAAUUCUUGCAAUCCAGUCAAAGACUUUUGACUUGUUACAUCAACCAACCCUCCUUUUGGCAAAGUUCUUCUGUUUAAUACGCUGCAGAUAGACCAAACUUAUUUAUAUAUUCUGAUUUAUUUUAAUUUCUCCUUUUUUGGGUUUCUCAAAGUUUAGCUUAGCUGGCUUUUUUGAUCUUUUGCUGAAAUGGGUAGUACUGGGAUGCUGAACAAUUCAACUAUGAUAUGUGCUCCAUUAAUGGCUCAAUCAGUGGAGCAAAUGGUUAAAGACGUGCACCAGGCAAAGGCUGAAGGUGCACAAGUUGUUGAGAUUAGAUUGGAGCAUAUCAAGAAUUUCCAGCCUCACCAGGAUAUUCAAAUCAUACUCAAAAAUAAAGUUUUGCCAGUGAUCAUUGUAUAUAGGUAAUCAUCUCACCUAUGUUUUUUUCUACUAGUGGAUUUCUUAGUUUUAUGUUAUUUGAGCAGUCUUAUGAAUAUUAGGAGAUUAGAGUUGGAAAAAUGCCUUUUUGUCCCCUCAUUUUAGAAGUCAAGAUUGUAUUUGGUAGAUUCUUUUCCGUAUGUUGCUGUCCUUGUCCUUUUUUGUUGAAAAAAUAUUAUUAGGUCCCAUCAUUUGUUUUUAAAUGGAUGUAGCCUGUAAUUCAGAAUCACAGCAACGUAUUCUUGUGCAAAAGCUGCAGCAAAUUGUUGUAAGGAUGGGCUUCUAUUUGGUGAUUUGAAGACAGGGGCAUCCUGAAUUCAACACAUCAAACAGCUGUAAUAAUAAAUGUUUUUUGUUCUACCAAGUUGAGACCAACCAUGAUACUGAACAUUUUCACUUUUGCUUGUGGAUGCAAACAUAUCAUAGAAAUUAUUGGAAACAGAGAGGACAAAUAUCAGUGCCCAACUUUAUCGAGUUUUUAAUGAGUUUGUACUCUUUUCUACAUGAAAAUCUAUCGUACUGCUACUUGUGUUAAUAAUGUUUUCUUAAUUUUCGCUUUCAGAAGCUUGUGAGUUGUGUUGUGAGGUAGGAUAAUUAGAUUAAAAUAGGUGGCAGUGAUAGAAUAAUUUUGCCAUUCUUUCUGAGAUGACAGGAAUCUAUGUUGUAUGAACUUCUAAAACUGUAGUAAAAGAUAAAAAUAUAACUUGGGUUUGACAGUUUGGGAAGGUUUGAAGUUUCAUUGUAUUUAAUUUCUAAGAUUCAGUCUUUUCUUCAGGCCUAAAUCGGAAGGUGGUCGGUAUGAAGGAGAUGAGCAGUGCCGGCUUGAAGCACUUCAUUUAGCUACAGAAAUGGGAGCUGAUUAUGUUGACUUUGAACUCAAGGUAGCUUUUAAAUUGUUGUACUUUUGUUUGCAAACUAUUAUACUCUUGAUUAUUGCAUUUUGGUGCAUUCAUUUCUAUUAUUGACUAUUUUACAAACUUAAAUAAUAUUUUCACCCAUUUUCGUUUCUCAUUUAUCUGAUAGCAGUUAAAAUAAAAAGUGCCAUAGGCAGUUUUCCCUUUGAAUGACCUAUUUGUUCCUUCGAAAUUUCUCUUAGUUUUAUCUGACUCGCAGAUCAUGUGAUUGUCCAGGUUGCUUCUGAUCUUAUUUGGGAACAGAAAAUGAAGGAUGGUAGUGCUACUAAAUUUAUUGUGUCAUGUCACAUAAAUGGAAUGACCUCUUCAGACGAAGAGUUAAACAAUCUUGCUGCUAGCAUUCGAGCUACCGGAGCAGAUAUCAUCAAGAUGGCUGCAAAUGUAACGGAUAUUACUGAGAUAGCAAGAAUGUUUCAUUUGCUUUCUCAUUGCAAAGUAUGAAACUCUAACUCUAUUGACUUUGCUUUGAAUAUGUGCAGAUUAGUUGUAUAAAUUGUUGCAGUGGAAUAACAUAUCAAAUAUUAUUUAUCUGCAGGUGCCAAUAAUAGCAUACUCUGCAGGGGAAAGAGGUCUCAUAAGCCAGCUAUUGUGCCCAAAAUUUGGUGGCUUUCUAGCCUAUGGAUCUAUUGAGGGAAAUUCAAUUCCUGGCAUGCCUUCUUUAUAUAGUGUUAUCCACACUUAUAAACUUGGCUAUCUAAAUUCAGAAACUAAAGUUUUUGGACUUGUUUCAAAACCUGUCGGUCACAGCAAAGGCCCUCUAUUGCAUAAUCCUAUAUUCAGACACGAGAACUUCAAUGUUGUUUAUGUCCCAAUGUUUGUAGAUAAUCUCAAGGAGUUCUUUAACAUCUAUUCCAGUCACGACUUUCCUGGUUUUAGGUACGUCAUCCUUCAAUUUUGUCUUUGGUAGAUUAUGUCAGGUUACAGUGUUUUCACUUAAGUAUAUAGCCACUGUAAGCUGCAUCUGUUCUUAUGAGCAACACUUGUAUUUUGACCUUUUAGGCAUUCAAACACAUUUUAGCCAGUAACAACUAAGCCCAGAACUGGCCUUGAAAGAUUUAGUACCAACAAAGUAUGGAUGUAGGAAAAUUUUAUGUUACAACUCGUUCUUUAGUUGAUAUAGUAAUACUGAUUUUCGAAACUGGAAGAUCAUGGAUAGUUGCAACAUACUGAAAUAUAAAUGCCUUCUUUCUUUGAUAAAUUGCUUUAUUUCUCACCCUUAUUUUCAUCUCCUGGAAUGAUGUAGCCAGGUUUGUUUUCCACUGUUCUCCGAAAUGUAACUUCUCUUUUUCCUCAUUCCAAUGGAUUGCAGUGUUGGGUUUCCGUACAAGGAAGCUGUAGUUGAGUUCUGUGAUGAAGAUCAUCUACUUGCCGAGGUUGACUAUAUAACAGUCUUACAAACAUGUUUGAAUCUGUAAUUUCCCAUGUAUUUUUUCAGGUCCCUUGUUUUUGUGCCCUAUUCCAUUUCUUUAUGCACAGUUUACCAAAGCACCGAUUUCUGGCUAUACUAAGGUCUAAGACCAAGUUCUGAAUCUAAUUAUUUAGAAGAUCAACUUAUUGAGAGAAGCAUACCAAAGCAUAUAAGACUGGUUUGAUCAGUUAAUUGCCAGAGAAAAAGGAAAAAAAAUUGUAUUUAAGUUUAGGCAGAAUAUUUAUCUGAUCCUGGUUGUAAAAUUCAUAUUUUACUAUCUGAGCUAGUUGGCAUUGCAUCAUCAGACAUGGCACAUUUUGUGAUGGGAAACCAAAAGUAACAGAAGAUUACACUCAAACAAUUGUAUGUUGACAUGUUCUAUAUUGAUAUAUUUACCUGUCACACCCCGAGAUCAACACGCAACACGGUCGUAUUAUCUUGAAGAAAACCCCAAAGUAAUAAGAAGCCUUUUUUCUUAAUCAUUCUAAAAUUCUUCAAUAAAACAAUCUACCAAGUAAAAUCUAUAUCUUUAAUCCAACUGAUAAUAUAUCUUUAUAUAUCCAAAUACAAACUAUAUAAAAUACAAAACUACCUCUUAAAAUCUCAUUGACUAACAUAUUCUCCGACGAUUAAUUAAUCUUACCCAUUUCAUCUUCUAGCUUCACACAAGACUAACCAAACUUAUCACUUAGUCAUAUGUAAAAAAAAGUAAAAGGGAAUGAGCAAACCACAGCUCAGUAAGUAUAGGCUCACACACCUUACCAGAUCAAGCAUCGUUUUCUUACACAUCAUAUAGAUCAUUCAAAACAUUCAUCAAAUCAUAAUAUCAAAACAUUUCAAGAUCAUCAUUUUGUCAAAUAUUUCAUAAAUUCAUAAAUUAAUAUCAAAAUAUGUUACUUCAUAAAUCAUUGCAAAAUAUGCUAUCAUUCAAAUAUUAUAAUCAAACCAAAUCAUUGAUCAAUCAUUAAAAUCAUCAUAAAUCAUCAUUAUCAUUCAUUUAUCGUUAGCUACGGUCACUGUUAUAACCCGUGACAUUGACCGUAUCGAUAAUUUCAUUCUCAUGAUCAUUCUAAUUAUUAUAAUCCGUUAGCCAGGGCUUACGCUAACUACUAUUACCUGUUAGCUAAGGACGUAUGAUCAUGUCUUUGCUAACUACUAUUAUCCGUUAGCCAGGGUCGUAGAACUAGUUCUGGUGUCGAUGAUCCCACUUCCCAGAGAUGUAAAAACGUAGCCAUCACAAAAUCAUUCUUUAAACAUAAAUUAUUUUCUCAUUUCAUUCAUAAGCAUGAUCCAUCAUUUAUAUAAAGAAACACAAAAUAAUCAUAUUAUAAGCUCCUUAACAUCUCUCAUAGUUUAAGGAUCAUAACCUGAACUCUUAGAAAAUCUCCAAGAAACAUAACUUAAAGCUUUUAAAAAAAAUCUUAACAUAAUCUACAAAUCAUAAUCUAUCUCUUAAAAUUCUUCAAAGAUCGUAACUUAAGCUCUGAUACCACUUUUAUCACGUCCCGAGAUCAAGACGUAACACGGUCGUAUUACCAUGAAGAAAAUCCCAAAGUAAUACGAAACCUUUUUUCUUAAAUAUUCUAAAAUUCUUCAAUAAAAUAAUCUACCAAGUAAAAUCAAUAUCUUUAAUCCAACUAAUAAUACAUCUUUAUAUAUCUAAAUACAAACUAUAUAAAAUACAAAACUAUCUUUAAGAUCUCAUUGGCCAACAUAUUCUCCGAUGACUAAGUAAUCUUUCCCAUUUCAUCUUCUAACUUCACACAAGACUAACCAAACUUAUCACUUAGUCAUCUGUAAAGAAAAAGUAAAAGAGGAAUGAGCAAACCACAGCUCAGUAAGUAUAGGCUCACACACCUUACCAGAUGAAUCAUCGUUUUCUUACACAUCAUAUAGAUCAUUCAAAACAUUUAUCAAAUCAUAAUAUCAAAACAUUUCAAGAUCAUCGUUUUGUUAAAUAUUUCACAAAUUCAUAAAUCAAUGUCAAAAUAUAUCACUUCAUAAAUCAUUGCAAAAUAUGCUAUCAUUCAAAUAUCAUAAUCAAACCAAAUCAUGGAUCAAUCAUUAAAAAUCAUCGCAAAUCAUCAUCAUCAUAAAUCAUCAUUAUCAUUGGUUUAUCGUUAGCUACGGUCACUGCUAUAACCCGUGACAUUGAUCGUAUCGACAAUUUCAUCCUCAUGAUCAUUGCUAACUAUUAUAACCCACUAGCCAUGGCCUUAUGCUAACUACUAUUACCCGUUAGCCAGGGUCGUAUAAUCAUGUCUUUGCUAACUACUAUUACCCGUUAGCCAAGGUUGUAAAACUAGUUCUGGUAUCGAUAUCCCAACUUUUUUUUUCACUUUUCCAAUAACUUCAAAUGUCUUUACAAUGCAAACUUAACCUUUCUUACUUUAUAAUCCUCGUAAUGAGUACAAAUGAUUAAUCACUUGAUACAAUAGAUCAUAUCUCCAAAUUCUGGUAUAAUUCUCGUCCUUACUUUAAACCAUUACUUAAUCAACCAAAAUUUAUCAGCCAUUUGUUCCAUAAAUUCAAGAAAUAAAAGCUUUUCUUCUUUGUCCUUAUGCCAAUAAGUCUAAGAUUUAGAUUUGCUUCCAUAGAAAACCUCAAAAUAAUGAAAUAUUUUUUUUUCGAAUGGUUGAUUAGAAAGAAUAAGUUUUGAGGCAAAAUGAUUAUUUUUUUUCAAAGUUCAAUGAAACAAUCAUACAGUAAGAGAUAUGAUUGCAACUAGAGGAUAGAUGUUGGAUAAAUUAAGUUUCAAAGACGAAACUUUUUUAUAAGAGGGGAGAAUGUAAUACCCCUAGCCAAAUAAUAAUUAGGCUAGAUUAAUACUAAAGCCCAUCAGUUUAUUAAGACAUUAUUUAGUAAAAGAAAAAGGGCUGAAGUAUUAGAUGAAAGAAAACCUAAUUAUCAUGAAACAGAAAGGAAAUAGAGUUAUUUUUUCUCAUCUUUCUUAGGGUUAGAGGAUAUGAAAAAUCAAGUUGGAGAUUCACAAUCAGAGGCUACAAUCAAGUUAAUCCCUUAAAAGUGAGUACAUGCCCUCUUUUUAUUUAAGAAGAAAUAUCAAGUUGAUUGCUAUUAUUUGGAGUUAAAGUUUUGAGAAAAAAAUCAAGAAAAAUCAUGAAAUCCUUCAUUAAUCUUGAUGAUCUAUUUAGGUAAAUUACUGGCUUUUGUUUAUUUCAUGUUCUUAAGAUUUAUUGAUGAUUAUUGAAUGGAGUUUGUAGGCUGAAAAUAAUGAUUUGAGUUUUUAAAGAUUGAAGAAAAAAUUCUAUUUUUGGAUGAGAUGUUGUGAUCUAUAAUAAUGAAUUAAAAUAGAAAUUUGUAUUAAUGGAUAGAUUAUUACUGUGAUUAUUAUAUAUCAUUGGAAAGCAUGUUGAAUCUAGUUUCUAAUGAAACAAAUGAAAGUCAAAUCCAAGUUUUCUAUGAAGAGUUGUCUAAUUUUAACUUAAGGAUAUGUAGGCUGUAAGAUAGCAGCAUCAGGGUUGAAUUACGAAAUUUUCCUAAUUUGUAUACAAGGAUUUAUAGAUUAAGCCAUAUAUUUUUGGAAAGCUUAUUGAGUCUACUUUCCAAUGAAAUAAGCGGAAUUGAAUUUGGAGUUUCCUGUGAGUAAAUAUAUAAUUUUUAUUAGAAGGUAUACAGUCUGUUUGGCAGCAGUAUGUGAUGUGGAUUUCAAAAAUUGUUAUAACUAAUCUACAAGGAAUUACGAUGUGUGCCAUAUAUGGUUAGAAAGCUUAUCAAGUCUAGUUUCUAACACAUUAAAGAGAUCAUAAUUCUGAUUUGACAUAUUGAGAUAUGACUGUUUUAAUGAAAAGAGGUCAGGCUGUCAGUAUUGAUUAGUUAAGUUAACCCUUUGUGUAACUUAGUUGAUUUUUGUAUAAAUGAUCUCAAAAAGGGUUGAUUAAAUUCUGAUCUGUUGAAAUGAUCUUGGAUAGGCCAUUAAUUAUUUUGAGAGAAAAACUAAGUGGUGGAAUCGAAUGGAGGUAAGUAGAAUCUCACACACUUUACUUGUUUUCGAAUCUAUGUAUAUAUAUGUUUCUAAAUGAAAGAAUGUUUUAUUUCUUUAUUUUUAAUGUGUGAAAAUAGGACCAAGCAUAUGAUUAUUUUGUGUUUUCGCUAUGUAAAUUAUGGAUCAUGCUUAUGAAUGAAAUGAAAAAAUGAUUUAUGUUUAAAGAAUGAUUUUGUGAUAGCUACGUUUUUAUAUCCCUAAGAAGUGGGAUAUCGAUACCAGAACUAGUUCUACGACCCUGGCUAACGGGUAAUAGUAGUUAGCAAAGACAUGAUCAUACGACCCUGGCUAAUGGGUAAUAGUAGUUAGCAUAAGGCCUGGCUAGAGGGUUAUAAUAGUUAGCAAUGAUCAUGAGGAUGAAAUUGUCGAUACGACCAAUGUCACGGGUUAUAGCAGUGACCGUAGCUAACGAUAAACCAAUGAUAAUGAUGAUUUAUGAUGAUGAUGAUUUGCGAUGAUUUUUAAUGAUUGAUCCAUGAUUUGGUUUGAUUAUAAUAUUUGAAUGAUAGCAUAUUUUGUAAUGAUUUAUGAAGUGAUAUAUUUUGACAUUAAUUUAUGAAUUUAUGAAAUAUUUGACAAAACAAUGAUCUUGAAAUGUUUUGAUAUUAUGAUUUGAUAAAUGUUUUAAAUGAUCUAUAUGAUGUGUAAGAAAACGAUAUUUCAUCUGAUAAGGUGUGUGAGCCUAUACUUACUGAGCUGUGGUUUGCUCAUUCCUCUUUUACUUUUUCUUUACAGAUGAUUAAGUGAUAAGUUUGGUUAGUCUUGUGUGAAGUUAGAAGAUGAAAUGGGAAAGAUUACUUAGUCGUCGGAGAAUAUGUUGGCCAAUGAGAUCUUAAGAGAUAGUUUUGUAUUUUAUAUGGUUUGUAUUUGGAUAUAUAAAGAUGUAUUAUUAGUUGGAUUAAAGAUAUGAAUUUUACUUGGUAAAUUAUUUUAUUGAAGAAUUUUAGAAUAUUUAAGAAAGAAGGCUUCGUAUUACUUUAAAAUUUUCUUCAUGAUAAUACGACUGUGUUACGUCUUGAUCUCGGGACGUGACAUUACCUGAUUCACAUGGAGGUGAUUCUAGAAAUUUUCUUAUAUCCAGAAUUCUUACCAGAAUUCUUAGUGCUUCAAUUCCCUAUUAAUAGCAUCUGCUUGCAGUUUCCUAUAUUUAUAUAUUUGACAAUGUAAUCAAUUUUUUUUCAUGCACUGUCAGUCUAUAGGUGCUGUUAAUACUAUUGUAAGGAGGCCUUGUGAUGGAAAGCUGAUAGGUUAUAAUACUGACUGCGAAGCUGCAAUAACUGCGACCGAGGAUGCUCUAAAAGGUACCUGCCAUUGAUGAGAAAAAAAAUGUUCAUCAUGUCCUCUUAGAAGUUUAAAGUAUUGAUCAAUGACAAGUCCAUUCUAGAUGCUGAUAUCCUGACACUGUUGUACUUGUAAAUCGUAAACUACUAUAGAAAAGAGAUGCACUGGUAAUGAAGUAUCUUUAGGCAGUCCGAUAUCGGGGAAACUCUUUGUGCUAGUUGGUGCUGGAGGUGCACGAAGAGCAUUGGCAUUUGGUGCUAAAAGCAGAGGAGCUCAAAUAGUCAUUUUUUACAUUGAUUUUGGUAUGUGAUCUACAAUUCUUAAAAGGCAAAUCCAUGGUUUUUCCCUUUAUGUUGAUUUGAUUGUCAACUAUAACUUCUGCCUACUCUUUUUUAAUACAAUGUUGUAGCAUUAGCAAUAAACAUUAUGAGUAGAGAAUCAAAACCCUUUCGUACUAUUAUCAUUGCUUGUGGAAAAAGGGAGAGCAAAGUCCCUUGCUUGUGCUGUCUCGGGUGAAGCUCGACCUUAUGAAGAAGUAGUUAACUUCCAGCCAGAGAAAGGAUCGAUCCUUGCAAAUGCAACACCCCUGGGAAUGCAUCCGAAUACUGAUCAGCGCAUUCCUGUUGCUGAGGUCUCCACCUUCCACCACUUAGUGGUAUUUCUUUUCUGAAGAAUAAAGUUCAAUUUUGUUUCAUUACUGAAGUUAUUUGCUUUCAUAUUCCAGGCAACCUUGGGAGAUUAUGAGCUGGUCUUUGAUGCUGUUUAUACACCUAAGAAAACAAGACUAUUAAAAGAUGCAGAGGCAGCAGGAGCAAUCAUUGUCAGUGGAGUUGAAAUGUUCCUCAGACAAGCUAUUGGUCAGUUCAAUCUCUUCACUGGUCGAGAAGGUAUCUCUUGAAUCCCUUCCUUCCCUCUAUCUGUUUCAUGACCUUAAACUACAUCAUAACCACUCUGGACACUUAUUUUCUAAUUAAAUCAAUUAGAAACUUUAGACCUUUUAAACCAUCCUUAGAUCUUUACUGCAAAUGUAAGUUGAUAGUUCAACCAUCUUGAUCUUUUGCUGUUUGAUUUUAGUCACGAGACUAUUGAAAAAGAAUAAUAAAGCUUCCAGUGAGUAGUGAAUCCAUCUUUAUUUCAUUAGUUGGACGAAUGGAUGAAGUUUAUGAUCUGAAAAAGCUAUUUUGAUUGAGUUGAUAAGAUUUGAAUACUUUGUUUAUAAGACUUAAGUUUGAGUCCCCGUUGCUAGCAUUUCCCUUGAUAGAUGAUUUGUAAAUUAAUGUAAAUCGAUGCUGAAGCUUGUGAUCUUCUAUGGUCCUAAAAUGAGAAUGCCUCUUCUUAUCCUAAAUUUUUAUAAAAAUAUAUAUAUACAUAUAUACAUUGAGUCAAAAUUGCUGGAGAUAUCCUAUUUUGAACCUCUUCCAAAAUUCUGACUUCUAAUUUUACCAUGUACCAUCCUCAUGAUCAAGUUCAAGUUUUGUGGUGAUAAUCUCAACUAUUCUUCCUCAAAACUACUGCCUCCUACAGCUCAAGAAUUUUAGUUGCAACAUAUAUUUUCAGAAUUCUUAAUAUGGUUUAAAUGAGGUCAAUUUUUUUAUUCUGUUUUGCAGCACCUAAAGAGUUAAUGCGAAAGAUCAUUAUGGCGGAGUUCUGAUGUAUUACAUCACACAGAAUAUUGUAACAUUAAGGAGUAGAUAGAUCAAGUACCAUGGAAAAGGAUUCAUGUAGUCAAGCUGAAGCCCUUAUUCUUGGACAAGGUUUUUUUUUUUUUUUAAUUUAUUUCAAGUUUUGGUCAUUAACUUACAUGGAAAAUGAAAAUAUUUCUCUUCUUUGUUUUCUUUGGAGGGUUCAAAAAAAAUUUUUUUUAAAGAGAUCAUAGUUUAAAAAUUAAGAAAACGAUUAAAGUAAUAGAAAUUUGAAUCUUAAAUUUACUGAAAAAAUGAUUGCAUAAACCUAACUUAAAAGGGUUAUGAGUAUUAAAAUUUGAAUCCAAACUUUUAAUAUCAACGACUGAACUCCAUUAUAAGUUCACAAAUAUUUACAUAGUGAAAGCCUUUUUCUUAUUUUGAUCAUAAUAAUAUAAACAAUUAUUACUUAUUAGACUUUGCUGUUAGAAGAGGAUUUAAAUUAAAAUCUCACUUACAAAAAUUUAAUUUAGUUGACUAUCAAUUUUAACUAACUAUACGAUGCACGAUGAUUUUUCAAGUACUUGGAUUUUGGUUACUUCGAAAAAUUUAGAUGAUGUGCCAAAACUUAACUUCUUUUAGUAUUAUGUAGUUUUUGAAAAAAGAUAAAACAUGGUAAAUUUAUUAUCUAACAUUGUGUCUAUGUAGGCGUAAAAAGUAAUUGUCUUAAGUUAUCUAUAAUAUUGACUUAUUUGUUAGUUAUGCCAUUAUGGCUACUUAAAUUCAAUAUCAUAUAAUUUAAAGUGUUUUUUAUAAUAUGAUCGCAAAAUAUUUUCAAGAUUUACUAUUAGAUAUAUUAUCGAGCUUUAUUUAAUGUUAAUUUCUUCUCUCAAGAGAUUUUCUCUAAUACAGUAAGUUGUAUUCAGUGUUUUAUUUUUAAAAUAUUUUUUAUAAAUAUCAAAUUCUGAUUGACAAAAAAAAAAAAAAAAUCGAAUGGGUUCAGAGUUUUACUCUUAAAGUCUUUUUUUUUUGAGGGUUCAAAUUCUAAUUAACAAAGAAAAAAAACCCUUUUCUCCUUACUAAUUAUAUUAAUCCUUGUGGAUUAAAGUGGUAGAUUAUGCUAACAAUAAAAAUUAGAAGUUAUUUCAAUUUUUAAUUUGCUAUUUAAUUUAAUUAGAAUUUCGAUACAAACAAUAAUAUAAAAGAGAAUUAAAGAUAAGAGUUAAAUUUUGGAUCUUAUCUCUCAAUUAAGUUAUUAAUUAAUUUAUUUGAUCUAUUAGCUUUACCUUGAUGAUUUGUAAAAAUUUUCUAAUAUAAUCAUCAAAUAAUGUUUAUUUUAAGUUAAUCAACAAUGGUUUUACUUUUCCCCAUUUCAUUGCAAAUAGAAAAAAUUAACUUAAUUUAACUUAAAUUCUCAUAGUUACUUACCAAUGUUUAAACGAAUAUAAGGCACUACUUAUAAGAUUUGAAGCCAAGACUCUUUCAGGCAAAGAACUAAAAAAUCCAACUUUAAAAUUGAUGCCUAUUGUAGAUAAAAACCAUUGUACUUGAACAACGAUCCUCUGUUUCUUAUACUUGGAAACUAUUGGCUUAUAGUGUAUUCAGAGGACCAAGAUACUUGCUAUAGGUUGUUCUGUUUAUGUCAAUGCUGAUAGAAAAUGUCCUAAAUGAAAAUAAAAAAUAACUGCUCCAUCCCAAUGAGUUGUCAGUCAUUGGGCUUUCUGCAAGUGUUUUGACUUGUAUAUGUUUUCAAUUAAUGAAAUAAAACUAGUAAGCCUUUGCUAAAGUUUGAAAAGGACCAGCUUCUUCACUUGACAUGAGGCAAAUACUUUGUAAACCUUCAAUGGCGAUUGGAUU